rnacentral:lncRNA from 1 species
AUACCACAAGUUAAGGUUUUGUGGAGGAACCAUGCUAUGAAGGAAAUGACCUUGGAGUUGGAAUCAGAAAUGAAAGUAAGGUACCCUCACCUUUUCGAAACACCAGGUACAUACGUCAAUUUCGAGGACAAAAUUUCAUAAGGAGGGGAGGUUGUAAGACCCCAACUUAUUAUAAAUAAAAUUGAAUUUCCUCUAUUCAUUAUCUUAAAAUAAUAAGGAGUUAGUUUGAUAUAAUGCUUUGGUUAUGGGUGAAAUGUGCAAAUUUUACAAAAUAAGAAAGUGGUUAUAAAAUAUUCAUCUUUGUUGGAGAAUAUUCGUUUGGUCGUGGAAUAUUCUUGUUGUCAGGGAAUAUUCGUACGAUGGCGCAGCCAUUUAUGGGCCCCAUAACAAAAUAAUUAUCGAAUGAAGAAAACGGUGUAAUUGUUACCGUUAACACUGUUGGAUUACCUGGUGGUUAAAAUACAGUAAUACACGUAGUUGUAUAGUAGCACACGACAUUGCAAAUUAUUUUUGAAUUAUUAAUUCUUAUGUAAGAAGGCACUACUCAAUAAUUGUUACAGUAAUUACUGUUCAAUAUUUUAUUGAUUCAAUAAUUGUUGUGUUGAUAUUUUAUAUUAUUGUUAUUUCAAUAAUUGUCAUUGCAUAGUAUUUCCCAUUAUCAGAUUAAUAAUUCAUAUUAUUUGAAUAAUAUUAUUAGAUAGUAUUAUUGGCAAUAUCUAAGGAAGUUCUGUCUAGAAAAGGGGUUUGGUCACCUAAUUGUGCGCCAGUAAGGAGAAAUCCUUAUCGGAAAGCCCCUCUUUCCUGGGAACGACCUGGUUGUCAUAAUUGUGAUUCUGUAAUAUUACUUGUGAAUAAUUAAUUAUUGAUUUAUAUGAUAAGGAAAUAUUUAUUUUAUGUGGACAUAAAGGAUGGAUAGGAAAAUAUUUAUUUUGUGUGGAUAUAAAUGAAGGAAUUAAUACUGAGGUAUUUUAUCAGUAUUUUGUCGGAAUGGAGGUAUUAAAAAUCGCCCGUGUGUGGAUUUCGGGCAUUUUUCGUUUGGAAUUUGGAAAAACUUAAAGCUACAAAGUUGUAGAGAAUUUAAUUUCCUAUGGAAUGGACAUAAAUUCGUAUUUGUCAGAUAAAAGGGGUAUUUAUUAUGAAUUAUUGAAGUUUCAGAAAUUAAAUAUUUUUAUUAAAAUUAUGGGUGGGACCCACUUUUGUUUUUUUUUUUGAAAACAUGUGCUGAAAAUUUGUGUUCAAAAGUGUAGGGCUGGUUAGUGGCGUGCUUGAAUGGUUAUAAGAAUAUAUUAUUUUAUCUUUGAUUGUAUCCAUGUCUAUUAUGGUUAUUAUCUUUGAUUGUAUCCAUGUUUUGAUCUUCAUUCUUGAAUUUUACUCCACUAUGGUUUAUUAUGGAGUAUUUUUGAACUUGGAUUAUCUAAAGUACGAAUCCCUAAUCUUUGUUUUUUGUCUCACUGGAUUCGUUUCUUAAAAACAUUUUUCAUCAUCCUCAGUCCUAAAUGAUGAUAUAACUGAAUAUCUUUGGCCUUUAGUGCAAAGAUGAAUGAUUACCUGAUGAAUAUCUUUGGCCCGUAGUGCAAAGAUGAACAGGUGUUGAGAUGAACAUGACCAACUGGUGAUACAAAUGAAUAUCUUUGGCCCGUAGUGCAAAGAUGAAUAUUUGAUUCAAGAUGUAUAUUGAUUGAUGUUACAGGGAUAAAAUAUUGAUGAUGGACUUUAAAUUCAUCGAUGAUAGUAGAUUUUAUUCUCUAUUUACCUCUUCUAAUGAAUUGUUGUUUCCACUGCAGUUGUUGAUCUAAUACUUGUUGUCUAUUAUAUUCUAUCAGAUUUUUCCCUAUUGAGGCCUAAGGAUAAUUUGUUGUACAUUAUCUUAGUCAUAAUAUUCUUUACUGCGCUAGUUGAGCUCACCCUUUUCCUUUUUGUUCCAUUUUUCUUCUUAGGAAGCGAGAAUAUAACAUGAACCAGUCGGGGUAUAGAGUGAUGGUCCUAGACAGUUGUUUUAACAGUCCUCACUAUUUUUGUAAAAUAGUGUAUUAAUAAUUGUAAUGAGGACUUUAUUUGAGUGUGGAUAUUGUCUAGAAGACAAUAUUUGUAUUGAAAGUCGUAGAAUAUGUGUUGUCGUAUUUUGCACGACAAUUGUAUUAUUGAAUUUGUAGUUGUUUCUGUACUAUGUAUUUGGUGACUCAAAUUGGGUGAUGUAUACCUAUUUUGGGGGCAUCACAAAAGGGAUGGAAUUACCUAGUCUCCCCACAUAAAUGGGAGAAUCGAUGACCAUCUAAGCUGCGGUUGAGUCCUUAAAGAGAAACACCAAUCCAUAAGAGAUGGAACUACCUGGGCUCCCCAAUACAAAGGAGUAUCGAUGACCAUCUGUGGGGCGGUCAACCUCAGAGAGGAAAGCCAAAAUCUUCUCCAUAACCACAUAAAAAAACCAGUCCCAAGACACCAAAGGGUAAGGGGAUACAAAGAUCAAUGAUCCAUUCUAAAAUAUUCUGAGACAUCUCAAUGUCCAUCCAUCAAGGAGAAGUUCAGAAUACAUCAAGAUCAUAAGCCCUGAAGAAACAAGCAACUAUCAAGUAAGUAACAAGGCAUAACUAAAAGGGAAGUGAAUCAAAACAUAUUUCCUUUCCAUAUAAUAUUGUUUGGUAUAUACAAUGUGUCAUGUACAUGACAAAAUUGGCUAACCUAGUCUAUGAAGGUAAAUCAAAGCUAAUCUACAAACCAGUGGAUAAACAAGCGAUCAAGUCUAAUAUGGCAUCCCUCUCAGAAGAUGGGGGAAACUAUAUGAGCUCCUACCCAAGGGUAUCUACACGAGCCAGGAGAUAUACAACCAUCUGCAUGGUGCUACUAUGCUUAUCAAUGAAUGUGCUCAUCUCUGCAAUGAUAUCAGCAGUAUGAGACCACAAUGCAUUACUAUUUGUAGUGGCAGCAUCUCGGGCAGAUAUAGCACCAUCCCGCUCAAUAACAGCUACUAACCUAGAUGAUCGAGCCUCGUCCCGCUCAACAAUAGUGGUAUCCCUAUGGGCUAGAGCAUCAUCUCUCUUAACUAGAGCGACAUCUCUACCAGAAAGAGUUGUCAACAUCAAAGCCCUAGCCUGAUCCCUCUAAACAUCAUCAGAUGCAGACUCUGCUCUAAAUACUUAGUAGAAUGUAGAGUCACAACAGCAGGAAUACUGGGGAAUCAACCUGAGCUACUGACAACUCAGCAAACAUCUCAUCCUCAGUGGGAGAAUUAGGGUCCUCCAUAGGCUCCCCACUAUCAGAAUCAGUACCCGGCUUUGAGGAUUCAACCAUAACCGAUGCAAUCUCUGCCUCCAACCAUGUAGAAUACUCUAUAGAACAACCUGGAUAAAUCCUCUCACGCUGAGUCCAAUAGGCAUAAAUCCUGGAUAAAUCCUCUGCUGAUAGAAGUCGAGAUGACAAACGAUGACCCAAUGCCCCGUCAAAGGGAUGAACAUCCUAAAACUGGUCAAAUUGUGUCAUCACAGCAUGUGGAUGAUAAGUGGUCACACCCCUCAAACUAGCUAGAGGAAGAUAAUCCAUGCCAGCUGCAUGAGUGAUAAAGCUAUUGGGAGAGUUGAGCCCUGAACACGACAGAAUAUCAAACGGAUCCUCGAUCCCUGAUAAGAAACUGACCAAGGAGCAACAUCUAUACACUCCGACGGCUGGAAGAAGUAAGACAUGGCUAUCUCAUGGGAAAAAAUAAUACCUAUGGCAUCAAAAAGUGCCAAUCGGUCUCAGGUGUGUCAUAAAUCACACGUACAACAAGACUGAACUACCAGUAAAUACCCUCAUAGAAUGGGUAUGGCAAUGCGUGGUUGACCUUAAGGUCUCUGCCAGAAUCAUCGGUAAAAUGGUAUGUCCCUCCCGGAGAGCACGAACUACAAUAAGCACGUCGAUGUCCAAGUGGUCCAUGUACAAUGGCAUGUACAGAUAAUCCACCAUACACAUCAAGAGUACAUCUACUAUGGGAAUAUGCCAAUCAUUCUCCGAAGUGGUGAAAUCCCCAGAGUGCCACAGAUAACUUCCAAAGACCCAAAUCUGUCUAUUAGAAAACUCAUGGACACUACAUGCCCCAGGGAGAUCUCAUCCAGGGAAACUCUGUACCUCAAACCUGUGAGGGUCAUAAACUUUUGGCUCAUAUCUCCGACAGCCAUCCGAGCGCAAGGCUUAUCCAAUGACAAAUCUGUCAGAUGCUCGAACUCCUCCAAAGUGGGAGUCAACUCUUGGGUCUCAAACUAGAACACCUGCCUAUCCGGUACCCAAUGCUCCAGCAUGCCCUCUACAAAGAUAAAUGGAACCUGGAAUGUCAAGAGGGUCAUAGAGUGACGCAUCAGCUGAUUAACUGUCGCCCAAUCUAGGGAGGACAAACUGUCAUACCACAGUCUCAAUGAAGAUACCAUCAAUACUGGUGGGGUGUAAUUAAUACAGCUAACUAUCGAUGAAGACAUCUGUAGGGCCGUGACAUAAGACCAUUCAGGGAUCAAUGCUAAACUCAUCUCUGGAAAUGCAUGUCCAUAAACAUAAUGCAUGCAUAAUAAAUAAUAGAUGACAAUACGAUGUAUGGAAUGAAAAAUAAUAUGCAUACAUUCCUAAGUACAUCAUCAUCUAAAUACAUCAUCUUUGUAUACAGCUGAAAAAUACAGGAAAAUUGGGAACAACCACCCAACAACUAACAGAGGCCUAUCGAAAGAUAUAACGAGAAUGGGGCACAGCCGCCCAAUAUCUAACAGAGGCCUAUCAAAAGAUAUUGUGAGAAAUACAUCAGAAAAAGUCAAUAGUGUUGAUGUCUACAUCAUCUAACCUAUCCAUCUGAUGAGACUCGUCUUGAGUCACUGAAUCUCCGCCAGUUGGGAUAUCAGCCUGAUACAAUAGAGGAGUUGAACCAGAAAAACCAUCUGAAUAUGGGCCAGCCCCAAAGCUAGAAGGAUCAAAAGUAUCCACCUCGGAAGGAUCCCUGCCCAAAUGCGGGAUAAAGAAAUGUGCCCAGUCCAACUUCUGGGUCAAACUAUCAAUCUGCGUCAGAUGAGUAGGCUCUCGGACGCAGGCAAUCCCAUCCGCCAUCAUGACAGAGCCAGUAACCAUAUCCCCAAUAAACUUUGUGAUGCAUGUCUGAGCUCCAAUGGUGCGAGGGAGCCAUCAGCAGUAGAAUACCUCCUGAGUGAAUGGUCCCUCUAACAAAGUAAAACCAUCAACUCCCACAAACGGGAUAUCAAUGAUCUGUGGCUGUGACACAGGCCAAUAACGCCUGGCAGGAUGACAGAUCGGUAUAUGAAUCUCCCUUGUGGUGCUCCUGAUAGGAUGAUCUCAUAAAUAGAGAUCCCAACCUCCAUCUGUGAAGAGAGGAAUCUGACGGGUGGACAUCACAUACUCGACACCAGUCAGGAAAUAACCCUCAAAGCCAACUGUCAAAUGGUCCUCAGAGUAGGGAACCCAUGUAAUGAUAUUAGCUGUCAACAACUCCAAAGGUAAACAACAAUGGGUGAAACCCUCAGCUAAAGGAACCUCCACCAACGUGGAGUGAUGCUAUAGUCGUCCUCAUGGAUAGGUGUCUAAACCUAGCAAGCUAACGGGACGCAGACAUAGGAGCCUCUCACAGGCCCAAAACUGCCAAUACAAGAUCAAAUAUAUGCGGUCAGUCAACACUCUCAACCCGAACAAGGGAAAUUAAAAGAGAAAUACUCACCAGCAGGAAUGGGUAAAAUCCUAGCCAAGCCUCCGUCAAGCCCUACGAGCGCAGACGCAUUCCCCCGAGGAAGUUGGCAAAGGUAUAGGGGACCCAAUCAAACUCUCCAAUAUGGUCCACCUCCCAUGUGGUGUUGACUAAAGUGAACGACACCGUGGAAGAGUUAUCCGCUAGCGAACAACAGUACUUUUUGUCAUUUUUAUUUUGUCCGAUUUAUGCACGUUUUUUGAAAAAAACUUUUAUCGGCUUACUUAACUUUUCACGACAUAUUAUCGUCAAAUCUUUCAACGGAAUGUCAUUUCGAUAUACCAAACUCUUAGAACGGCUUAGGUUAUUCAAACCCUAACCCUUAGGUUUUGUCAGAUGAAUAGUGCUUAUUUCGUCUUUUUCCCCAGAAAUAUUUUUGUUCCAAAAAAAAUUUCAUUUUUAUCUUGAAAAUUCUUACUCGUUCAGUCUAGCUCGUAGCCAGAAUCCUCCCGACUUAUAAUCAUCCUAGGUUCUAGAACGAUUAAUAAACACAUAGCACAUAAUAUUAUUAAUAAAAAUUCAUUUUAUUAAUAACUAAUUCUUUAAACUUAAAUUCUGGAAAAUCCAAAUUUUCGGGUCGUUACAGCGGGUAGUUGAGAAGGAUCAUGAAGAGUUGGCUAAGAAAGCUAAAACCAAACCACCACUUAUUUACCCUCAUGUUCCUUAUCCACAGAGAUUGCAAAAGCAAAGAGAAGACAAACAGUUUGCUAAGUUUUUGGAGGUCUUUAAGAAACUGCAGAUCAAUAUAUCAUUCGCAGAGGCAUUAGAACAAAUGCCAAGCUACGCGAUGUUUAUAAAAGGCAUUCUAUCAAGGAAGAAAAGAUUGGAGGAUUAUGAGACAGUGGACUUGACAGAAGAGUGCAGUGCAAUGUUGCAGCGUAAGCUACUGUAAGACCACGAAUUUUAUGAAAUAAAAGUAUUCAAUUUUUCUUAUAAUUAUUAUUCAGUAAAUGGUUAAAUUGAUAAAAGUUUAAAGUUAAGGGUGAUAUAUGUAAAAUUUUCAAAAUACGCAAGUGGUUAUAAAAUACUCAUUUCUGUCGGAGAAUAUUCGUUUGGUCGUGGAAUAUUCUUGUUGUCGGGGAAUAUUCGUACGACGACGCAGUCAUUUGUGGGCCCCAUAACAGAAUAACUGUCGGAUGAAAAAAAUGACAAGUUUGUAUUUUUAUAAAUAACGGCCUAGUAGUUACCGUUAACACUGGUAGAAUACCCGAUGGUUAAAAUAAAGUAAUAUGUGUGGUUGCACAGUAGCACACGGUAUUGCACAGUAUUUUUGAAUUAUUGAUUCUUACGUAAGAAGGUACUACUCAAUAAUUGUUACAGUAAUUACUGUUCAAUAUUCUAUUUUAUUGAUUCAAUAAUUGCUGCGUGAUAUUUUAUAUUAUUUUUGUUUCAAUAAUUAUCACUACACAGUAUUUCCUAUUAUCAGAUCAAUAAUUCAUAUUAUUUGAAUAAUAUUAUUAGAUAGCAUUAUUAGCAAUGUCUAGAAAGUUAUGUCAAGGAGAGGUUUGGUCACCUAAUUACGAGCUAGUAAGGAGAAAUCCUUAUUGGAAAUUUCCCUCUUUCCUGGGAACUGCCUGGUUAUCAUUAUUGUGAUUCUGUAAUAUUAUUUGUGAAUAAUUAAUUAUUGAUUUAUAUGAUAAGAAAAUAUUUAUUUGAUGCGGAUAUAAAUGAUGGAUUUAUUUAUGUGGUUAUAAAUGAAGGAAUUAAUGUUGAGGUGUUUUAUCAGUAUUUUUGUCGGAAUGGAGGUAUUAAAAAUCAAAUCAAUAUUUUUAUGAUAUAUUAUGUGAGUUAUAAUUUUUAAUCCGACCGUUGGAUCGUUGUGAUUUUUAGAUAUGUUAUACAUAUAUAAGUUGAGUAUAUGUCCACAAAUUUUGAACCGUUAAAAAUGAACGUAUGAUUUGUUAUGAAUUGUAAGAGGUGACUGAUUCGGAAAUUAGGUUUAUAAAUGAUUUUGGUGGAAAAUUCUAGAAUUUAGUAGGCCCUGUAAGACCCCGAAUUUUAUGAAAUAAAUUAUUCAGUUUUUCUUAUAAUUAUUAUUUAGUAAAUGGUUCAAUUGAUAAAAAAAAGUUAAAGUUAAGGAUGAUAUAUAUAAAAUUGUCAAAAUACUCAAGUGGUUAUAAAAUACUCAUUUCUAUUGGGGAAUAUUCGUUUGGUCGUGGAAUAUUCUUGUUGUCGGGGAAUAUUCGUACGACGGCGCAGCAAUUUGUGGGCCCCAUAACAGAAUAACUGUCGGAUGAAGAAAAUAACAAGUUUGAAUUUUUAUAAAUAACGGCGUAGUUGUUACCGUUAACACUGUUGGAAUACCUGGUGGUUAAAAUACAGUAAUACGCGUGGUUGCACAGUAGAACAUGGUAUUGCAUAGUAUUUUUGAAUUAUUGAUUCUUACGUAAGAAGGCAUUACUCAAUAAUUGUUAUAGUAAUUACCAUUCAAUAUUUUAUUUUAUUGGUUCAAUAAUUGCUGCGUUGAUAUUUUAUAUUAUUGUUGUUUUAAUAAUUGUCAUUUCACAGUAUUCCCAUUAUCAGAUCAAUAAUUUAUAUUAUUUGGAUAAUAUUAUUAGAUAGCAUUAUUGGCAAUGUCUAGAAAGUUCUGUCAAUGAGAGGUUUGGUCACCUAAUUGUGCGCCAGUAAGGAGAAAUCCUUAUUGGAAAGCCCCCUCUUUCCUGGGAACCACCUAGUUGUCAUAAUUGUGAUUCUGUAAUAUUAUUUAUGAAUAAUUAAUUAUUGAUUUAUAUGAUAAGGAAAUAUUUAUUUGAUGCAGAUAUAAAUGAUAGAUUUAUUUAUGUGGUUAUAAAUGAAGGAAAUAAUAUUGAGGUGUUUUAUCAGUAUUUUGUCGGGUUGGAGGUAUUAAAAGAUCAAAUCGGUGUUCUUAAAGCUCUAUUGCGUGAGUUAUAAUUUUAAUUCGACUGUUGGAUCGUUUUGAUUUUUGGAUAUGUUAUACAUAUAUAAGUUGAGUAUAUGUCCACAAAUUUUAAACCGUUAAAAAUUAACGUAUGAUUUGUUAUGAAUUUUAAAAGGUGUUGAAAAUCGUCCGUUUGUGGAUUUCGAAUAUUUUCUGUUUGGAAUUUGGAAAAACUCAAAGCUACAAAGUUGUAGAGAAUUCUAUGUCAUGUGGAAUGGAUAUAAAAUUCCUAUUUUUCUGAUAUACGGGCUAUUUUCUAUGAAUUAUUGAAGUUUCGGAAAUUAAAAUAUUUUUAUUAAAUUUAUGGGUGGGACCCACUUUUGUUUUAAACAUGUGGGCUGCCAAAAAUUUUCAGAUUUGGCAUGCUUGAUGGCUGGCUUGGUUGGUGGAGGAUGCGUAGAGAAAAAGAAAAGAUAAUAAUAUUAUUUUAUUAUUUAGUCUCCUUUGGCGUUCUAACAUUUUCCUAUAAAUAGGCGCUUAAGUUAGAAUUGAAAAUCACCCCAGAAACAAGUUUUCUUUCUCUCUAUAUUGUCGAGCGUAUUUUUGUGAGUAUUUAGAUACUUGAAGAGUUGCUAUUCAGUGCAAGUUUCCUUCGGCUUUUUAUCCGACAUUUCGGUCAGAAGUACUGCUCUUUUGAGGUAAGGGAUUUUAAAGAUUAUUAUGUAUAUCAUGUUUCGUAAUUUUUCUAACCUUCAAAAAUUUUAGAAAAAUUUAAAAUGAUAAUUUGAUGAGUUUCCUUGAUUGUGUCCAAAAAUGACGAUUUUUGGAUGUAUAGAUUAGGAGUUAUAGAUUUUAUGAGAAAAGACUAUUUUAAAAGUAAACCCUUAUAACUCCAUGUGGUUAACUCCAAAAUUGGUGAAAUUUUUAUUGGGAGUACAUCUAUAUAACAUUAGUAUAUCCUGUAAAUUUCGGAAUUUUUGGACAAAAGUACAAUUUAUGAUAACUGUCUAAAUAUUCGGCAGUUUUGACCAUGUAAAAAAUAGUAAAUGAAUUUUAAAAAUUCCGAGAAAACUAUAUGUUCAAUAUGGGACUAUAUUAUGCUAAAUUCCAGAAAAGAAAUAUUUUUGGAACUAAUUUGGUAUUUUUCAUGAAAAUAGACUAGUUAUGAAUAAAUAAUUUAAAUAUGUUAUGUGAAGUAACAAAAUUGAAAAAUAGAAUUUUAUGGCUUGGGAAUCUUAUAUAUGGUAUAUGCAGAUAUUUGAUGAGGUUGUUGGUUAUUGGUGAUGAAAUCUUAUGAGUUUGGCAUUUUAGGAUGAUUAAAUGCAUUAACUAGUAAAAUAUAAACAAUUAAAAUAAAUUGUUUAUAAGUUUAAGAAAUGAUUAAAAUAUUGUGGUAGUAUUAAUAAUAUUAGAUUAUGAGAUUAUUAAGUGAUUUAUAACAUUUGAAUUAAGGUGUUAUGAAAUCAUUGAUUUAUGAAUCUUACUCUUAAAAUUAAAUGCAGUUGUUGAUCGUAUUGUUUUUAUUAUCAUAUAUAACAUUUUUAUAAUCCCGGUGAUGAAAUUUCUCUUUGACUUAAGUGUAAAGAUGGGUAGAUUAUUGGUAUGAUCGUGACUAUGGGUUCUCUUUGGCUAGGAGUGCAAAGAUAAAUUGUUGACUGGUAUGAUCAUGACCAUUGAAUUUACAGUUGAAUAUUUUUAGCUUAAGUGCAAAGGUGAAUUGAUCAACAUGGUUAUAGUUAUUGUUUAUAUAAAUUCUGCAAUGAUUAUAUAUUUCUUUGAGAUAUGAAUAUCUUUGGCNNNNNNNNNNNNNNNNNNNNNNNNNNNNNNNNNNNNNNNNNNNNNNNNNNNNNNNNNNNNNNNNNNNNNNNNNNNNNNNNNNNNNNNNNNNNNNNNNNNNNNNNNNNNNNNNNNNNNNNNNNNNNNNNNNNNNNNNNNNNNNNNNNNNNNNNNNNNNNNNNNNNNNNNNNNNNNNNNNNNNNNNNNNNNNNNNNNNNNNNNNNNNNNNNNNNNNNNNNNNNNNNNNNNNNNNNNNNNNNNNNNNNNNNNNNNNNNNNNNNNNNNNNNNNNNNNNNNNNNNNNNNNNNNNNNNNNNNNNNNNNNNNNNNNNNNNNNNNNNNNNNNNNNNNNNNNNNNNNNNNNNNNNNNNNNNNNNNNNNNNNNNNNNNNNNNNNNNNNNNNNNNNNNNNNNNNNNNNNNNNNNNNNNNNNNNNNNNNNNNNNNNNNNNNNNNNNNNNNNNNNNNNNNNNNNNNNNNNNNNNNNNNNNNNNNNNNNNNNNNNNNNNNNNNNNNNNNNNNNNNNNNNNNNNNNNNNNNNNNNNNNNNNNNNNNNNNNNNNNNNNNNNNNNNNNNNNNNNNNNNNNNNNNNNNNNNNNNNNNNNNNNNNNNNNNNNNNNNNNNNNNNNNNNNNNNNNNNNNNNNNNNNNNNNNNNNNNNNNNNNNNNNNNNNNNNNNNNNNNNNNNNNNNNNNNNNNNNNNNNNNNNNNNNNNNNNNNNNNNNNNNNNNNNNNNNNNNNNNNNNNNNNNNNNNNNNNNNNNNNNNNNNNNNNNNNNNNNNNNNNNNNNNNNNNNNNNNNNNNNNNNNNNNNNNNNNNNNNNNNNNNNNNNNNNNNNNNNNNNNNNNNNNNNNNNNNNNNNNNNNNNNNNNNNNNNNNNNNNNNNNNNNNNNNNNNNNNNNNNNNNNNNNNNNNNNNNNNNNNNNNNNNNNNNNNNNNNNNNNNNNNNNNNNNNNNNNNNNNNNNNNNNNNNNNNNNNNNNNNNNNNNNCUUCUCAUUUUUCUUUGGGGUCUAUUGGAUCAACCAAGGAUAAUUCUCUGGACAUAUGAUAUCUAUCAUAACUUAGAUUCAUGGCCUCCUAUGUACGAAGGUUUCCUUGAGCACUUCCCAAAGAUUUUAAUUUCUAAAAUAGUUAUAGAUUGUACCUUUAUGUAAGGUAUCACUGUGAGGUAUUGUCCAUAGUUGGGACAUGAGUCACAGUUGGUAUUAAAACUCACAGUAUAUGUGUUGUUGUAUUUUGCACGAUAAUUGUAGUAAUAAAGUUGUAGUUAUUUUCUGUACCAUGUAUUUGGCGACUCAAAAUAGGUUGAGUGAUGUAGACCUAUUUUGGGGGUGUCACAGGCCCCACUUGUGGUUGGUGAAGAUAUGUGCUAAAAUUCUAAUUCAAAUGUGGUGGGUGGCAAUAGUAGCAGGUAAAACCAUCAGGUAGCAGGUCAAGUCUGCUUCGGCGUGCUAACAUUUUCCUAUAAAUAGAGGGCUAAGUUAGAAUUGAAAAUCAUACCAGAAACAUAAGAUUUCUCUCUUUCUCUCUCUAUAUUAUCAAGCGUAUUUUGUGAGUAUUUAGAUACUUUGAGAGUUGUUAUUCAGUGCAAAGUUCCUUCGGCUUUACAUUCCGGUCAGAAAUACUGCACUUUCGAGGUAAGGGAUUUUAAGGGUUAUUAUGUUUUUCAGUUUCGUAAUUUUUUCGACCCUCAAAAUUUCUGGAAAUAUUUGAAAUGAUAAUUUGAUGAGUUUUCUUGAUUGUGUCCAAAAAUGGUGAUUUUUUGAUGUAUAGAUUAAGAGUUAUGAAUUUUAUGAGAAAGCACUAUUUUAAAAGUAAACUCUUAUAACUCCUUGUGGUUAACUCCAAAAUUGGUGAAAUUUUUAUUGGGACUAUAUGUAUAUAAUAGAAGUAUACCCUGUAAAUUUCAGAAUUUUUGGACAAAAGUACAAUUUAUGAUAAAUAUCUAAAUAUUCGGCAGUUUUGGCUAUGUGAAAAAUAGUAAAUAAAUUUUAAAAAUUCUGAGAAAAAUAUAUGUUCAAUAUGGGACUAUAUUCUGCUAAAUCCCAAAAAAGAAAUAUUUUUGGAACUGAUUUUGUAUUUUUCAUAAAAAUGGACUAGUUAUGAGUAAAUGAAUUAAAUAUGUUAUGUGGAGUAACAAAAUUGGAAAAUAGGAUUUUAUGGCUUGGAAAUCCUAUAUAUGGUAUAUGCAGAUUUUUGAUAAGGUUGUUGGUUAUUGGUGAUGAAAUCUUAUGAGUUUGGCAUUUUAGGAUGAUUAAAUGCAUUAAUUAGUAAAGUGUAAUCAAUUAAAAUAAAUUGUUUAUAAGUUUAAGAAAUGAUUAAGAUAUUGUGGUAAUAUUAAUGAUAUUUGAUUAUGAGAUUAUUAAGUGAUUUAUAAUAUUUGGAUUAAGGUGUUAUAAAUAUUGAUAUGUAUUUUGUUGUAAAAGUUUAUCUUUUUGUGUCGGAGUUACUAUUCACGAGUUACUAUUCAUGGGGUACUAUUCACGACAAAAUUGGUUUUUUUUCUGACCAAAUUAUCGUUGAUUUAUGAAUCUUACUCUUGAAAUUAAGUCCGUGUUUUGAUCAUAUUAUUUUUAUUAUCAUAUAUAACAUUUUUAUAACCCUAUUGAAGAAAUUUCUCUUUGACUUGAGUGUAAAGAUGGGUAGAUUAUUGAUAUAAUCGUGACUAUGGGUUCUCUUUGGCCAGUAGUGCAAAGAUGAAUUGUUGACUGGUAUGAUCAUGACCAUUGAAUUUACAAUUGAAUAUUUUUAGCUUAAGUGCAAAGGUGAAUUGAUCAACAUGGUUAUAAUUAUUGUUUAUAUAAAUUUUGAAAUGAUUAUGCAUUUCUUUGAGAUAUUAAUAUCUUUGGCCUGUAGUGCAAAGAAGAAUUAUUAAUGAAUAUCUUUGGCCCGUAGUGCAAAGAUGACCUGUUGUUGAAUAUCUUUGGCAUGUAGUACAAAGAUGACCUGUUGCUGAAUAUCUUUGGCAUGUAGUGCAAAGAUGAACUGUUGAUGAAUAUCUUUGGCCCGUAGUGCAAAGAUGAAUUUAUUAGUAUGAUUAUGAACAAGAACUGUGAUUUGGUAUAACCAUGAUCUUUGAUAUUUCAGGUAAAGACAGGUGAUGUAAAUUAUCUUCGUCCUAGAUGAGAAGAGGAAUUUAGAACCACAAUUAUGGUUAUGAGUUAUUCACAUGAUUGUGGACAGGAACUAUUAAUUGAUGUUACAGGAAUUAAAGCAUUGUUGGUGGACUUUUAACAUGGAGAAGAUAAUAGACUUUAUGGUUUAUUUGACUCUUCUAAUGGAUUGCUCAUUCCGCUGCAACUAUGGUUGAAAAGUUUUAUUAUUUACAAUAUGUUCUAAAUCUCUGAUUUAUUACUAAUGAAGGCUAUUGAUAAUUUAAUUAUCUUUAGUCAUAAUAUUCUUUACUGAGCUAGUUGUGCUCACUCUUUUGCUUCACAAUUCCUUUCAGGUAAUAAGAGUGUAGCUGGGAUAACAGGGGAAUAGUGUGGUGGUCCGAGACUGUCAAAGUUUCUCAACACAUUAUAAAACGGCAUGACAUACAAUAUAUAAUUGUAUUGAGGACCUAAGAUGUGUGUGUCGUAUAUUAUACGUCACUUAAUAAUUUAUUUUGGUGAACAACAAUAGGGUGAGGUGAACCCAACUUUGGAAGGGUGUUUUGCCAUUAUCAUACAAGAUGUCUAAAGACAUAUACUCUCGUGUUAACGUAAGACAGGGUUGUACACAUCCACUUGCUGAGUAUAUCUACGAGCACUACCUAUAUGAUCUUGGAGUUUAUUUGAAAUAUAAUUUUCAACUAGAGACAGUGGAGAUAGUUAUAUGUCAAGAGAAGACUCACCAUUGGAAAGAACAUGAUAGUAAUCUUCUCAUUUUUCUUUGGGGUCUAUUGGGUCAACCAAGGAUAAUUCUCUAGACAUAUGAUAUCUAUCAUAACUUAGAUUCAUGGCCUCCUAUGUACGAAGGUUUCCUUGAGCACUUCCCAAUGAUUUUAAUUUCUAAAAUAGUUAUUGACUGUACUUUUAUGUAAUAUAUCAAUGUUAGCUGUUGUCCAUAGUUGGGACAUGAGUUACAGUUGGUAUUAAAACUCUCAGUAUAUGUGUUGUUGUAUUUUGCGCGACAAUUGUAGUAAUAAAGUUGUAAUUGUUUUCUGUACCAUAUAAUUGGGCGACUCAGAAUGGGUGUUGUAUACCUAUUUUGGGGGCGUCACAUUUGGUAUCAGAGCUUAGGGAUAUGAUCUCUGGCGAAGAUCCGGGAUUAGAAAUAGGAAGGGAGAGACGAGUAAUAUCCUUCCCUAGUAUGUGUCCUACCUAAGCUGAAUUUUCCUACUUAAGUUGACAAAUUGUGAUAUGUCAAUUAACCUUUGUUUUGAAGUUUUAUUCUAGAAUGAUAUCUGAAAUACAUGAGAUGAACAAUGGAGAAAUCAUGAUGACGGGGAAGAUGGAAUCUGAAAUGAAAGAAAGGUAUUCUCAACUCUUCGAAAUACCAGGUACGUAAAUUUCGGGGACGAAAUUUCAUAAGGAGGGAAGAUUGUAAGACCCCAGAUUUUAUGAAAUAAAAGUAUUCAAUUUUUCUUAUAAUUAUUAUUCAGUAAAUGGUAAAAUUGAUAAAAGUUUAAAGUUAAGGGUGAUAUAUGUAAAAUUUUCAAAAUACGCAAGUGGUUAUAAAAUACUCAUUUCUGUCGGGGAAUAUUCAUUUGGUCGUGGAAUAUUCUUGUUGUCGGAGAAUAUUCGUACGACGACGCAGUCAUUUGUGGGCCCCAUAACAGAAUAACUGUCGGAUGAAAAAAAUGACAAGUUUGUAUUUUUAUAAAUAACGGCCUAGUAGUUACCGUUAACACUGGUAGAAUACCCGAUGGUUAAAAUAAAGUAAUAUGUGUGGUUGCACAGUAGCACACGGUAUUGCACAGUAUUUUUGAAUUAUUGAUUCUUACGUAAGAAGGUACUACUCAAUAAUUGUUACAGUAAUUACUAUUCAAUAUUCUAUUUUAUUGAUUCAAUAAUUGUUGCGUUGAUAUUUUAUAUUAUUUUUGUUUCAAUAAUUGUCACUACACAGUAUUUCCCAUUAUCAGAUCAAUAAUUCAUAUUAUUUGAAUAAUAUUAUUAGAUAGCAUUAUUAGCAAUGUCUAGAAAGUUAUGUCAAGGAGAGGUUUGGUCACCUAAUUACGCGCUAGUAAGGAAAAAUCCUUAUUGGAAAUUCCUCUCUUUCCUGGGAACUGUCUGGUUGUCAUUAUUGUGAUUCUGUAAUAUUAUUUGUGAAUAAUUAAUUAUUGAUUAAUAUGAUAAGGAAAUAUUUAUUUGAUGCGAAUAUAAAUGAUGGAUUUAUUUAUGUGGUUAUAAAUGAAGGAAUUAAUGUUGAGGUGUUUUAUCAGUAUUUUUGUCGGAAUGGAGAUAUUAAAAAUUAAAUCAGUAUUUUUACGAUAUAUUGUGUGAGUUAUAAUUUUUAAUCCGACCAUUGGAUCGUUGUGAUUUUUGGAUAUGUUAUACAUAUAUAAGUUCAGUAUAUGUCCACAAAUUUUGAACCGUUAAAAAUGAACGUAUGAUUUGUUAUGAAUUGUAAGAGGUGACUAAUUCGGAAAUUAGGUUUAUAAAUGAUUUUGGUGGAAAAUUCUAGAAUUUAGUGGGCCCCAGUUGUGGUUGGUGAAGAAAUAUGCUAAAACUCUAAUUCAAAUGUUGUGGGUGGCAAUAGUAGCAGGUAAAGCCAUCAGGUAGCAGGUCAAGUCUGCUUCGGCGUGAUAACAUUUUCUAUAAAUAGAGGGCUAAGUUAGAAUUGAAAAUCAUACCAGAAACAUAAGCUUUCUCUCUUUCUCUCUCUAUAUUAUCAAGUGUAUUUUGUGAGUAUUUAGAUACUUUGAGAGUUGUUAUUUAGUGCAAGGUUCCUUCGGCUUUACAUUUCGGUCAGAAAUACUGCUCUUUCGAGAUAAGGGAUUUUAAGGGUUAUUAUGUUUUUCAGUGUCGUAAUUUUUUCGACCCUCAAAAAUUCUGGAAAAAUUUGAAAUGAUAAUUUGAUGAGUUUUAUUGAUUGUGUCCAAAAAUGGUGAUUUUUUUUAUGUAUAGAUUAAGAGUUAUGAAUUUUAUGAGAAAAGACUAUUUUAAAAGUAAACUCUUAUAACUCCUUGUGGUUAACUCCAAAAUUGGCAAAAUUUUUAUUGGGAGUACAUAUAUAUAAUAGAAGUAUACCCUAUAAAUUUCGGAAUUUUUGGACAAAAGUACAAUUUAUGAUAAAUAUCUAAAUAUUCGGCAGUUUUGGCUAUGUGAAAAAUAGUAAAUGAAUUUUAAAAAUUCCGAGAAAAAUAUAUGUUCGAUAUGGGACUAUAUUCUGCUAAAUCCCAGAAAAGAAAUAUUUUUUGGAACUGAUUUGUUAUUUUUCAUGAAACUGGACUAGUUAUGAGUAAAUGAAUUAAAUAUGUUAUGUGAAGUAACAAAAUUGGAAAAUAGGAUUUUAUGGCUUGGGAAUCCUAUAUAUGGUAUAUGCAGAUUUUUGAUGAGGUUGUUGGUUAUUAGUGAUGAAAUCUUAUGAGUUUGGCAUUUGAGGAUGAUUAAAUGCAUUAAUUAGUAAAGUGUAAACAAUUAAAAUAAAUUGUUUAUAAGUUUAAGAAACGAUUAAGAUAUUGUGGUAAUAUUAAUGAUAUUAGAUUAUGAGAUUAUUAAGUAAUUUAUAACAUUUGGAUUAAUGUGUUAUAAAUAUUGACAUGGAUUUUAUUGUGAAAGUUUAUCUUUUUGUGUCGGGGUUACUAUUCACGAGUUACUAUUCACGGGGUAGUAUUCACGACAAAAUUGGUUUCUUUUUUCUGACCAAAUUAUCGUUGAUUUAUGAAUCUUACUAUUGAAAUUAAAUUCAUGUUUUGAUCAUAUUGUUUUUAUUAUCAUAUAUAACAUUUUUAUAACCCUGGUGAAGAAACUUCUCUUUGACUUGAGUGUAAAGAUGGGUAGAUUAUUGGUAUGAUCGUGACUAUGGGUUCUUUUUGGCCAGUAGUGCAAAGAUGAAUUUAUUAGUAUGAUUAUGAACAGGAACUGUGAUUUGGUAUAACCAUGAUCUUUGAUGUUUCAGGUAAAGACAUGUGAUGUAAAUUAUCUUCGUCCUAGAUGAGAAGAGGAAUUUAGAACCACAAUUAUGGUUAUGAGUUAUUCACAUGAUUGUGGACAAGAACUGUUAAUUGAUGUUACAGGAAUUAAAACAUUGUUGGUGGACUUUUAUCAUGGAGAAGAUAAUAGAAUUUAUGGUCUAUUUGACUCUUCUAAUGGAUUGCUCAUUCUGCUGCAACUAUGGUUGAAAAGUUUUAUCAUCUACCAUAUGUUCUAAAUCUCUGAUUUAUUACUGAUGAAGGCUAUUGAUAAUUUAAUUAUCUUUAGUCAUAAUAUUCUUUACUGAGCUAGUUGUGCUCACUCUUUUGCUUCACAAUUCCUUUCAGGUAAUAAGAGUGUAGCUGGGAUAACAGGGGAAUAGUGUGGUGGUGCGAGACUGUCAAAGUUUGUCAACACAUUAUAAAAUGGCAUGACAUACAAUAUAUAAUUUUAUUGAGGACCUAAGAUGUGUGUGUCGUAUAUUAUACCUCACUUAAUAAUUGAUUUUGGUGAACAAUAAUAGGGUGAGGUAAACCCAACUUUGGAAGGGUGUUUUGCCACUAUCAUACAAGAUGUCUAAUGACAUACAAUCUCGUGUUAACGUAAGACAGGGUUGUGUACAUCCACUUGCUGAGUAUAUCUACGAGCACUACCUAUAUGAUCUUGGAGUUUAUUUGAAAUAUAAUUUUCAACUGGAGACAAUGGAGAUAGUUAUAUGUCAAAAGAAGACUCACCAUUGGAAAGAACAUGAAAGUAAUCUUCUCAUUUUUCUUUGGGGUCUAUUGGGUCAACCAAGGAUAAUUCUCUGAACAUAUGAUAUCUAUCAUAACUUAGAUUCAUGGCCUCCUAUGUACGAAGGUUUCCUUGAGCACUUUCCAAAGAUUUUAAUUUCUAAAACAAUUAUUAACUGUACAUUUAUGUAAUGUAUCAAUGUGAGGUGUUGUCCAUAGUUGGGACAUAAGUCACAGUUGGUAUUAAAACUCUCAGUAUAUGUGUUGUUAUAUUUUGCACGACAAUUGUAGUAAUAAAGUUGUAAUUGUUUUCUGUAUCAUGUAAUUGGGCGACUCAGAAUGGGUGUUGUAUACCUAUUUUGGGGGCGUCACAGCUACCUCCAAAGCUUAAGGACCCAGGCAGUUUUACAAUACCAUGUGUUGGGAAAUUGCAUAUUUAAAUUUGAUAUUGAAAGUAAAUAUUCAUGCGUAUAUGUAAAGUUUUUCAAGGAAUAAAUGUAUAAGGACUUAGUGGUAGAUCAAAAAAAUUGUUAUGUUUGAUAUGUGCUUUAUGUUUAUCACUCUGUAAAUGAAUGUAUAUAAGAGAAGAUUAAAGCUGUUAGGUUGAUCUAACUUGUGUGAUGUAAUAGAUAGGCAUCAACAGAAUCGUAGUCUGUCAAGCCAGUCAAGAAAUUGAAGAAGCCAAGGAAGAAUCGUAGAGCAUCAAGAAUCGUAGUCUGUCUAAUUUAGAGGACCUCUCUCAAAAUCGUAGAGUGGUCUAAACACCUGCCAAGCCAACUCAAAGAUCGUAGUGUGCUUUCGAAAGCGUAGAGUAUGCAAAUCAAGUAAGCAAAGAUUGUAGUCUACCAGUUCUUAAGGGAAAUCGUAGUGUUCUCUUCUAUCUGUACCAGAUCAAGCACCAAGGUGGCAAGACACCACGAUCAUGAUCGUAGAGCAUCAUCUGUCUACAUCAGAAGCAUCGAGCCUUAUUCAUUUGUUUAAGAAUAAAAGUCAUCAAAUGUGGAAUGGAUUAUAGAUGUUGAGACUAUCGGGAAUCCCAAUGACACAAUACUCAUCCUUAGUAUAGAACGAAGAAACGUAAUGAAGAAGCUAAGGAAAGUACUACAUGUCAACUGAAAACACCUUUUCAGGUGUUAGGUGAGAUAGCAGUCUGAAGUGUCAGUGGGCCAGACGGCUAGACAGAAGAUUUCCAGAAAGUCACCAUCAAUGCUUAGAAAUGUUAAAUACAAUUAAUGCUUCAACAGAUGUCUUCAAAUGGAUACAUUUCAAAUGAACCUUAUAUGCAAAAUAGAAGCUGAUGCAAGAAAAUAAGCAAGCAUACAACAAAAUGCUGAAGAACACUAAAAAGCUCAACUCUACGAUCUGAAAAGAAAGCUUGCUCAGCUACUCAUUUCUUUCGAACACAAGUUUAACGGUAACUGAGUAGCAUCAUUCAAGAACUCAACUAUCUUUAAGUGAAGUAAGAAGUCCCAAGUCAAAAGGACUUUAAGAGUUCUAAGUGAACUGAGAAGUACCAAGUCUGCUGGACUUGAAGAGUUCUAAAGUGAACUAAGAAGUUCCAAGACUGCUGGUCUUGAAGGAAUCUGUGAGAUUCAAAUAUUGUAAAGAUAUCCUUAGUGGAUUUCCUACUCAAGGAGUAGAAGAGUGGACUAGGAGCCUUGAGUGCUUUGAACCACUUAAAAACACUGUGUCUCUUAUAUUCUUACCAUAACUGCUAUAUCUGCCAUAACUGCUUAUAUCCAUCAACUCACUUUAUCUUGAAGGGAAAACAAAUAAAUCUCAAAUGUGAUUAAAUCAUUAUCAAAUCUAACAAGUAUUUUGUAAAAGAAUUUUUAAAAAUAUCUAUUCAACCCCUCUUCUAGAUAAUUAUUGUGCCUCUAGGAACUAACAAUUGGUAUCAAAGAAGGUUUUAUCAAUCAGCCUACAAACCUUAAGUUGAUCCAAUGACACAUCUGAUAAGUGAAUCAAAGACUGGAGGAUGCAGCAAGCCACCAAUGUGCAACAAAGAUAAAUUCACCAACUGGAAAGUUCGUAUGCAAGCAUACAUGGAUUCAAUAGAUGAAGAUCUAUUUGAAACUAUUCUAAAUGGGCCCUACGUUCCAACAAAGCUUGCACCAACUCCAGAUGAUCCAAACAGAGUUCAAAUCAAAGUCAAGGCAGAAUGGACUGACAACGAAAAGAAAGAUGUCCAACUCGACAAAAAGGCCAAGAACAUUUUGUUUCAGUUUUUAGAAGAUAAUCUGAUUGAAAAUUUGGUCAAUAGUAAAACUGCAAAGAAAGUACGGGAAGCACUGCUCAUUAUGCAUGAAGGAAUUGAAGAAGUCAGAGAAAAUAAACAAUCUCUUCUGACUCAACAAUACAAAAUGUUUGCCCAAGUUCUAGGUGAAAAUGUCACUUCCACUUAUGAGAGAUUCAACGUACUGCUCAACUCUCUUCGAGGCUUUGGAAAGAUCUAUCCAAUUAAAGAUUUGAUCAUAAAGCUCAUGAGAGCUUUACCUAGCAAGUGGGAUGCCAAAACCACUGCCAUUAGAGAAUCAAAGAAUCUCCAUGAAAUGACUGUUCAACAAUUAUAUGGCAACCUUCUCACCUAUGAACUAGAGCUGACUCAGUGAGCAGAGACUCUAGCUGAAGGAAGAAAAAAGGACAAAGGAGUUGCUCUCAAAGCAACAGAUAACAUCUCCAAAGCUAACACUAAAAAUGAUUCUGACUCUGAUGAAGAUGAUGAUGAGGACAUUGCAAUGCAGGUAAAAAGACACAAAAGGUUCAUGCAUAAAGGCAGAAGUAGAAAACCUAAGAGAUUCAGCAACUACAGCAGCCAGGAAUAGAUAAAUGAAUUAUGCUACAACUACAAGAAGCCUGGCCAUUUCAUUGCAAAUUGCAACAAACCUCUUAGAAAAGAACUAAAGAGGAAAUCAAAUGCAAAGAAAGAAUUCAAAGGCAACAAGAGAUUCCAGAAGAAAGAUAAGGUCUUGUGGCCGGAGGAUCGUGGAGUUACUCAAAUAAUGAAACAACUCCUGAGUCUAAAGAUGAUGAAGAUCCUCAAGUAGAAAAUCUAUGUCUAAUGGCGAAACAUGCAAAGGACAAGAAAAGCUCUGACAAUCAUGAAGUAAGUAUAGAUGAGGUAUUUGACUUUAACUCUCCUGAUGUAGAUAUUGAUGAUUUAAGAAUUGCAAUACAUGGCAUAACAACUGAUCUGCAUCAAUACAUGAAGUGGUUCAGAGUUCUGUCUAAAGAUUAUUCUCUUCUUCAAAAAGAGAAAGAGAAAGUUCAGGAAGAACUAGAAACGUCUCUUCUAAGCACUAACUCUCUCUCCAAAUUUGAAGCUGAGAAUAAACUCUUAAAACAGACCAAUGAACUUAAUAUACAAAGAGAGUUAAAUCUAACCUCCAAGAUUGAGGAAAUAGAAAAGACAAUCUCAAUGUGGAAUAGAUCCUCUUCAUCCAUGCACUCCCUGAUCUCCAGUCAGAGAAGUGCAUCUGACAUAACAGGUUUAGGUUUUGGGUAAUCAACCUCAGAACCAUAUGUGGAAAAGAUAAAGGAAACUAACACUAGUGAUGUUUCAAAUUUUAAUAGAAGCAUUACAUUUGUGAAAUCCUCACAAAGGAAAGAACCAGUCAUUCCCUACUCUUCUGAUCCAAUCCAUGUUCAAAGGCAUAACGGAUCCCAUGCUGGCCUAGGAUACAGAAAAGGAAAGAGUAACUUAGUCACUACUCUCCAACCUCGAAUGAUCGUAGAGUCGAGUAAAAUCAACUCCAUGAACCAACUGGUUAGGAAUAGUAGAGUUAAGCUUCACUCUUCAUAAAUCAUGAAUCAUAAUAAUACAUGGAAAAAGAAGAGCCAGUUUAAAGGAAAGAUUUCCAAGAACCCGCAUAAGUCCAAAUGGAGAAAGAAUCCACAUACACACACAAGCAUGCAUCAUGCUAGAUGUUAUGUAUGUCAUAAAAUUUGUCAUAAGGCUGCAAUAUGCUACAAUAACUCUCUGCAUAUCAAACCCAAGUCAAACAGAUUUGGGUUCCCAAGGGUACUAACAAGGUAGGACCCAUGCAAGUAUGGGUACCAAAAUGAGAGUUUAAUCUUGCCACAGGAACAGAGCUCCACAAUCACAACUUGGUAUCUGGACAGUGGAUGCUCAAGGCAUAUGACCGAGAAUAAAGCCCUCCUAUCUAACUUCAUAGAUAAGGAGGGUCCAACAGUCAUCUUUGGAGACAAUGGUUCUGGUAAGACAAAAGGAUAUGGAUCAGCUGGGAAUGGUGCAGUGUCCUUCAGUAAAGUAGCCUAUGUGGAAGGACUAAAACAUAAUCUUUUGAGCAUAAGGCAACUCUACAACAAGGGUCAUCAAGUCACCUUCCUCAACAAUCAAUGUCAAGUCAGAGACCUAAAGACCUCCUCUAUAAAGAUAACCAAAACAAGAGAAGAGAACGUCUACACUGUUAAUCUUGGUCAACUGAGUUCUGACAAGACAAUAUGAUUUCUGGCUAAAGCUUCUGAAGAAAUGAGCUGGCUAUAGCAUAGAAGACUGUCUCAUCUCAACUUCAAAAAUAUGUCAAAACUGGCCUCCAAGGAUCUAGUAGCAGACUUACCCAAGCUCAGCUUUGUCAAAGAAAGGCCAUACAAUGUCUGUCAGCUUGGAAAAUAGACUAGAAGCUCAUUCAAGAGUAAAACUGUCAACUCAAUUGAUAAACCUCUACAGUUACUUCACAUGGAUCUGUUUGGGCCAAUUCCAAUAACAUGCCUUGAAGGGAAGAGAUACUCAUUGGUCGUAGUGGAUAACUAUACCAGAUUUACGUUGUUGUUCUUUCUAAACAUAAAAGAUGAAACAAGCUACCAGCUAAUCAUGAUAUUCAGGACGGUGAUGAACGAGAAAGGGGAGAAAAUCAAGGUUAUAAAGAGUGAUCAUGGUAGAGAAUUCGAUUUCUCUGAGAUGGACCAGUUCUGCACAGACAAUGGCAUAAGUCACAACUUCUCAGCUCCAUGAACUCCUUAGUAAAAUGGAGUAGUUGAGAGAAAGAACAGAACAUUUAUUAAGGCUGUAAGAACUCUACUAGCAGCAGCCCGUCUACCUGAAUACUUCUAGGCAGAAGCUAUCAACAUUGCAUGCUACACUCAGAACAGAUCUCUUGUGCACUCUACGUUAAAGAAGACUCCCUACGAACUGUGGAAAGGAAGAAAGACAAGUGUCAGCUACUUUCAUGUAUUUGGUUGUUCAUGUUAUAUUCUCAACAAUGAAAAAUAGUAUCUAACAAAGUUUCAACCCAAGUCAGAUGAAGGAAUCUUUCUAAGAUAUGCCACAGACGGUAAGGCUUAUAGAGUGUUCAACAAGAAGACACUAAGUGUUGAAGUCUCAAUUCACAUCAUCUUCGAUGAAAUAGAUUUGGACAAAACUGUGUCUCAAGACACUACGAACGAAAACCCAGACACUACGAAUGAGGUAGUCGAGUUCAAAACCACGAUCGUAGUCCCAGAAAAUGAAAUCGUCGAGCCUUUAGAGGAAAUAGUAGAAAGAGAUAUGCUAGACAACGAACCUCCACAUCAAGAAGCAGCGGUUGAUCUUGAAGAAUUCAGACAAGAAGGCAUUAGGACAGAUGUUCCAAUAAGAAAUAGAUAGGCAAGAGAUCACACUCAAGGCCUAAUCAUUGGUGAUCCAAAUGCAAGAGUCAAGACAAGAUCUGCCACCCAGAAUGAGUGUUUCUAUCUAAGCUUUCUGUCACAAAUGGAACCUAAAAAGAUAGAAGAUGUUAUGGAAGACUCAAGUUGGAUAGAAGCCAUGCAAGAGGGACUAAAUCAGUUUGAAAGAAGCAGAGUAUGGAGAUUAGUUCCAAGACCAAGAAACCACCCAGUCAUUGGCACCAAGUGGGUCUUCAAAAACAAGAUGGAUGAAGAUGGGGUGAUAACAAGGAACAAGGAAAGACUAGUAGCCAAAGGUUACUCUCAAGAAGAAGGCAUCGACUAUGACGAGACCUUCACACCUUUUUCCAGAUUAGAAGCCAUCAGGAUAUUCCUUGCCUUUGCUGCACACAUGAAGUUCAAAAUCUUUCAAAUGGAUGUCAAGAGUGCAUUCCUGAAUGGUGAACUUGAAGAAGAAGUAUAUGUGGAGCAACCUCCAGGUUUAAUCAAUCCAACUCUCUCUAAUUAUAUCUAUAGAUUAGACAAAGCCUUAUAUGGACUUAAACAAGCACCUAGAGCAUGGUAUGAAACAUUAACUAACUUUCUUAUUGAAAAUGGUUUCACUAGAGGUAGAGUAGACACCACAUUAUUCUUUAGAAAGCAUAAAAACAAAAUCAUAUUAGUUCAAAUAUAUGUUGAUGACAUUAUCUUUGGCUCUGCUAACGAAAAACUAUGCAAGAGAUUUUCCAAGCUUAUGCAAAGGAAGUUUGAAAUGAGUAUGAUGGGUGAGCUAAAUUUCUUCCUUGGAUUACAAAUAAAGCAGACUGGUGAAGGUAUCUUCUUAAACCAAGCUAAGUACAUUAAAGACUUACUUAAAAAGUAUGGCAUGGACUCAGCCUCUCCCAUGAAAACACCAAUUUCUUCAGCAACUAAGCUUGACAAAGAUGAGAAAGGUAAAAGUAUUAACAUAACUCAAUACAAAAGGUAUGAUAGGCUCUUCUAUAUCUAACUACCAGUAGACUAGACAUAAUGUUUGCAACAUGCAUAUGUGCAAGAUUUUAAGCUAAUCCUAAGGAAUCUCACUGAACUAUUGUAAAAAUAAUUUUUAGGUAUCUCAAAGGCACACCUCACAUGGGACUUUGGUAUCCCAAGGAGUCCUCCUUUGAACUAACAGGAUAUACAGAUGCUAAUUUUACAGGCUGCAAGAUUGAUAGAAAAAGUACCAGUGGCACAUGUCAGCUUCUAGGAAACAGACUUGUAUCCUGGUUUAGCAAGAAGCAAAACUCAGUAUCUACCUCAACAGCAAAAGUUGAAUACAUUAUUGCUGGUAGUUGUUGUGCUCAAAUUUUAUGGAUGAAAAAUUAGCUGGCAGACUAUGGGUUUGAUUUCAAAUCUAUACAUGUCCAUUGUGAUAACACAAGUGCCAUAGCAAUAACACAUAAUUCUAUCAUGCACUCUAGGACUAAGCAUAUAGAAAUAAGAUAUCAUUUUAUUAGGGAUCAUGUUCAAAAUGGAACUAUAUCUUUACAAUACAUCCCUACUGAAAAUCAACUUGUUAAUGUCUUUACAAAUCCUAUAGAUGAAUCCAGAUUUAAUAAAUUGAUAAGUGAGUUAGGCAUGCUAAAUCUACAACCAUAAACUCAUUGCUCUAGUUCAUGCUAACAAUGGAGAUAUAAAGGCCAUGUUCAAAAUCGUAGAUGUGAGUCAAGAAGGACCACGAUCAUAGAGCUGCCUCGACAUGUCAAAGAAGCAUCAUGUGAUGACAACAUUCCUAACAGUUCUAAGCAAUCCCUCUGAUAAAUGCCUCAGGGACAAACUUGAUCCUUAGUUUAUUCUAAGAGGUUGGCCCUUCCUGAGCUACCUUAACUCAAAAGGAAUUUUAAGUCAAAGUUCAUAACAAGGACCAGGACAGACAACGAUCAUAGAGUAGAUUCAGCAGUGAACUCAACAUCGUAGUGCAACCUCGACGAUCGUAGUCCUCCCAAAGGAUAAAGUAGCUCAGGGGGAGCUAAGGGCAGAUCAGUGUUUCCCACAUCAUUAAAAAUAGUGGAGCCAAGCAGGACUCGACAUGUGCCCCACUAUGCAGAUCGAGAGGAGGGAAGUUACAAGUACAGUUUGAAAAGGUCUUUUUGAAAACUCACCUCAAAAGUUCAAAAGCUCAUUCAUCUCUCUCCUUACCAGCAGAAACCCUAGCUUUCAGAAGCGCUCAAUCAACCUCAGUUCAAGAAAAUCAAUGGCGGCUUUAAAUGUUAUCUCUGGUUACUAACUUUGCUUUGACGAGUUCAAGACUGCUGACCUGUGAUGACCACGAAUUAUCCAUGCACUACGGGCCAAAGAUAAUCGUAUUUUCAUCAACGGUCCUGAUCAUGCCAUAAAAUAAUUCAUCUUCGCACCCUUGGCCGAAGAGAAUCCAUAGCCAUAAUCAUACCAAAAACUGUCCAUCAAUGCACUACGGGCCAAUGAGGACUUUUUCCACAUCAUUUGUAAUAUUACGGUCAUGAUUAUACUGAAUAAUCCCUGGUCAUAAUCAUACCAAGUCCAUCUAUGCACUACAGGCCACAGAUGACUUUCAACAUAAUAUAAACAUGAGGAUGAUGACAAUGACAUAAUAAUUCAAUAAAACAAGUUCAAGAAUUAAUUUAUCUAGUAACCAAUAAUGUCCAAAUUGUCAACAUGAUACUUCUUUGUGGAGUAAAAUUCAAGAAUGCUCAGAAGAAUAUUUCCAUAAAAAGAUAUUGAAUGAAGCGCAAAUAUCAAGGAUAUUCCACUAAUUUCAUGGAGUAUAGAAGCCAAAACAUUAAUCAAAUGAGUAUCAUAGAAUAUAUGAAAUUGCAAUGGAUUUUCACCCGCCAUGCGGUAAUCCACGUAGAUAGAUCUUUUCCACAAUUUAAUAAGAAAUGAAUACGAAGGGUCAUUCACCAUGCAUGUGGUAAUCCACAUAGACAGGCUAUUCCAACAGAAUAAUAAAGAAUGGAAUAAUUGAAGAAUUCACCAUGCAUGCGAUAGACCGUACAGAUAGGUUAUUCCAACAGAAUAAUAAAUAAUAGAACCAGGUCAUGCGUAAAUGCACAGACAGGAUAUUCCAACAAAAUAAUAAAUAAUGGAACCAGGUCAUGCGUAAACGCACAGACAAGAUAUUCCAACAGAAUAAUAAAGAAUGGAAUAACAAAAGACUUCACUAGGCAUGCGAUAGACCGCAGAGACAGGUUAUUCCAACAGAAUCAUAAAUAAUGGAAUAACAGAAGAAUUUCACCAUGUAUGCGGUACUUCGCAUAGACAAGUUAUUCCAACAUAAUAAUAAAGAAUGGAAUAACAGAAGCUCUCUUCAUGAAUACGAAAGAAAUAAUACCCCUUACCUUAGAAAGAAGAGUAUUCUGACUGUUAGGGCGAGGAUAUUCUUGAAGAAAACUUAUACUGUUUUCUACGCUUAAAGCUUCUUAAAACUCCAAAGAAACACACUCAAGAUUAUAGAAGAAGAAUUCUCUGAAUUUAUGGUGUGUUUUCAAUUCUAACUAAGCAUCCUAUUUAUAGGAGAAUAGAAAGAAUACUAUGCAAUAAAAUAUAAUAUAUUCUAUUUAUAAAAUGUGUGUAUAUAUAUAUAUAUAUAUAUAUAUAUAUAUUAUUUAAAAUCUAAUAAAACAAAUAAUUUUAUAAAAGUAUUUUAUUUUAUAUAAAAAGAUUUUACUAUGCAAAUACUAUGCAAGCACUAUGCAAAUACAAUGCAAACACUAUGCAUAAUAAAAUAUAAUAUAUUCUACUUAAAAUCUAAUAAAACAAAUAACUUUAUAAAAGUAUUCUGUUUUAUAUAAAAAGAUUUUACUAUGCAAACACAAUGCAAACAUUAUGCAUAAUAAAAUAUAAUAUAUUAUAUUUAUAAUCAAAUAAAACAAAACUUUAUAAAAAGUAUUCUGUUUUAUAUAAAAAGAUUUUACUAUGCAAACACUAUGCAUAAUAAAAUAUAAUAUAUUAUAUUUAUAAUCAAAUAAAACAAAACUUUAUAAAAAGUAUUCUGUUUUAUAUAAAAAGUUUUCUGUUUUAUUACAUUUAUACUAAUAAUAAAAUAAAACUUAUCACUUUUAUUAUAAUUCACAAUAUUAAUUGACCAGGUCGUUCCCAAGAAAGAGGGGGCUUUCUAAUAAGGAUUUCUCCCUAUUGGCGCGCAAUUAGGUGACCAAACCUUUCUUUGACAGAACUUCUAGACAUUGUUACUAUUGAAAAUAAUAAUAUUAAUAACUUUGUCGUCUCAAUUAUUGAUUUAAUAAUAUAUAAAAUAUUGACAAUAAUUGAAUCAAAUAACGUGAGAUACUAUGCAGCAAUUAAUGUAGCAAUAAUUAAACAAAACUGAGUGACUUCUCACGUAAUCAUCAAUAAUCAAUACGGUGUGCUACUAUGCAACCACGCGUAUUACUGUACUUUUAACAUCGAGUGUUUCAACAGUUAACGGUAAAACUUCCGCUAUUAUUUUCAUAAAAUGUUUUUGUCGUUUUCUCAAUUCGACAAUAAUUCUGUUGCGGUGUCCACCAAUGAUUGUGCCGUUGUACGAAUAUUCCCUGUUAAAACGAAUAUUCCCCGACCAAUCGAAUAUUAUAUAACAACUUGAUUCCUUUGCAAAAUUUAUAAAUACUACCCACAAAUAUAACAUUAUCUCAAAUCCACACCAUAAUAUUCAAAAAAAUAUUUCGAGAAAAUGAAAUCUUUAUUCAUGAAAUCUGGGGUAUCACAAUCUCCCCUCCUUAUGAAAUUUCGCCUUCAAAAUUUACGUACGGACCUGGUAUGCUGAAGAGGUGAGGAUACCUUGACUUCAUUUUAGAUUCUAACUCUUGAGGUAUAACAUUUGAGUGUUGAAUACGAUUCUUCUUAUCCAAGAUUUUAACACGUAUCUCCUCAUACGUUAAAUCUUCUGCUAUCUCGUCUAGUUCUAAUUCAAUAAUGUUGUUCAGGUCAUCCACAUAUUUAUGUAACAUCGAUACGUGAAAAAUGUUAUGAACACGCGACAUACUUAGCAAUAAGACUAGUCUAUAGGCCACAGUUCCUACUCGAUCGAGGAUUUCAAAUGGGAUAAUUAAAUCAAGGGUUGAGACUUCCUCUCUUUGUCGAUUCUUGCUUCUAGAAUAACGCCCUCUUGAACCUUCUUCUUCAUAUUCAUCAACUCCAGGUGUGUAGCUUGAGCAGCCUUUAACUUUAUCAAUUAAAGUCGAUUCUACUUGUAUAUUCGUUAUCUUCAUGUUGGUCCCUAGAGUCUUUAACUCUAUCUUCAUCAUUUGUAAGUUAUACGAAAUGGGUUUUUGUGUUAACAACAUCGCACUCGUAAAAGCAUACGAUCUUUUACUCAACGCGUCAGCUACCACGUUCGCUUUUCCACGAUGGUAUUGAAUGGUACGAUCGUAAUCUUCAAUAGCUCGAGCCAACGUCUUUGGCGCAUGUUACAUUCAUUUUAGUUGAAGAAAUAUUUGAGGGUUUUAGAAAUGGGUUUUGUACUGGGGUCAAUACAAAAUUCGAUUUCACGCUCUAGGGGUAAGCUAAGAAGUCUUCAAGAAUACGUCAGAAAAUUUAUUAACGAUAGAAAUAUCAUUUUAAAACUGUGACCAUCAUCCAAGACUUGGAUAGUACGUCACAUUGAUACCUAUCGACUUGCCAUCGUCAUUCACGAUGUCGCUUACAGAAAGUCUGGCUUCGGUGCAUUCCACACAAGGAAGUCACCAGAUAAAGGCUCAGGGCUCUUUACUUAUGGCUUGAUAUGGAAAUGAUUGACUUUAGUGGUUUGGUUGCUUGAAUUCGUAUAACAGGUUGGUUAGGAAUAUGAAAGCUAACAACCUUACGAAAAUAAUCAAUUUUAGCAUGAUGAGUAGUUAACCAGUCGAUUCCUAAAAUCACAUCAAAGGCAAGUAUUUUCAAAGAGAUAAGAUCGACAGCUAAUGUGAAAGUGUCGAUUUGAAUUAAACAAGAUUUAUAAAUAGUGGAGCUAACGAAGGUUUCUCCUAACGAAGUUUCAACCGAUAAGUCAAAGUCUAAUUUCUCCUGAGUUAAAUUUAAACGUGGAGCACAAGCAAGAGAGAUAAAAGAAUGGGUAGAACCGGUAUCUAAUAAGGUAUAGACUUUGCAAGAAUUUAUGAUUAACUUACCCGUGACAACUACGUUCGAGUUCCUCGACAAACGCUCUCACUUAAACUACCAGCUUUGACUUGUCUGAGACAUCCUUUGGUAUCACUAUCCCAGCUAGACUUGACUUCACUACACGACAAAAUCGAGCUAGGUGACCUUCUCUUCCGCAAUUGAAACACGCUUUGGAUUGCUGCAUACAGUUUGGACGGAUGUGUCCCUCCUAUCCGUAUUUGAAACAUACGACCGGUGGUCAUUCUUCUUCCUUUGAAACGGGUGCCGGUGCUGCUGUCUUUCCAUUAUUAUUGAACAUUCUCUUCUUGAAAUUUCAACUUCUAUUAUCUUGGACAUGAUUACCACCUAAGUGGUUACCAUUCUUGGCAUGAUAAUUUCCCCCACAAUGGUUAUCAUUGUUCCGAUGGUCGUUGCCACCGGUACGAUUAUUAUCGUGUUGUUGGUCGUUGCCUUUUGGUUGUGCUGACUCAUUAUUGCGCUCCAAUAACUGAGCCCUAUUCAUAACAUCUGAAUAUAAACAAAGUUUGUGAGAAAUGAGGUAUUGACGUAUAUCGGGUUUCAAACCUUGCAGAAUCAUUCGCGUCAUUCGCUCCUCAUUAUCGACCAACUGGGAUGCAAACCGGGAUAACUCCGUAAAUUUAGCCUCAUAUUAUGACACAGUCAUAUUGUUUUUCUCCAACUUGAUAAACUCCACCUCCUUCAUGUGACGAAUACUUUUGGGAAAGUACUUGUCGUUGAACAGCUCUUAGAACAUCUCCCAAGACAUCUUGAGUGCGUUAGGCUGGGUACGUUUUACGGAUUCCCACUAGUAAUUUGCCUCUUCACGCAACAUAAAGGUGGCAAAGGGAACCUUUUUCUCCUCUGAGCAUCCCAAGACAUCAAAUAUCUUGGUGAUCUGCUUUAACCACGUCUCCGCCUUAAGUGGUUCUGGCUUUCCCAAAAACUCUGGUGGUCCCAGCUCCUUGAACUACUUAGCAGUGACCGACUAUGGGUUGCCAUUAUUUCCACCUAUAUUUUGAACAGGAGUCUCUCUUACCUGUUAUUGCAUGAAUUGCAUAAAGCCUCUAAACAUUCCAUCGUUCAUCAUUUGGUCAAUGUUGUUGUUUGCCUGAGGAUUGUCGCCUUCCUGAUGCACAUUAUCCUGAUUAUUGAUCUAUGGAGACUCAACGGUCUCCUGUGCUCCAUUGCUAUUCUCAACAUUCUCGGAUGUCAUUUUCAAAUACUGCCACAAAACAAGGGUUAAUUAACGUAUCACAUAUUAUCCCUAUACUCUGACCGACCAAUUAAAUACCAAAUAAACUUAGGUAGGUCAUACUAGCGAAAGAAUUCCCCGUCUCUCCCCUCCUAGUUCUUGUCUCACAUCUCAGCCAGGGAUCAUAUCCCUAAGCUUUGAUACCAACUAUGACGCCCCCAAAAUAGGUAUAUAUCACCCAUCUUGAGUCGCCAAAUACAUGGUACAGAAUUCAAAUACAACAUAAUAAUACAACUAUCGUGUAAAAUACGAUAAAACAUAAACUGAGAGUUUUAAUACGAAUAUUGUCAUCUAGACAAUAUCCACACUCAAUGGAGUCCUCAUUACAUUUAUUGUCACACUAUUUUAUAGAAUAGUGAGGACUACUAUGACACCAUCUCGGACCAUUACUCCGUUCCCCGACUAGUCUCUGCUACGUUCUCAUUUCCUGAAGAGAACAAUGAAAGCAAAAGGGUGAGCUCAACAAGCCCAGUAAAAAAUAUUAUGACUAAGAUAAUGCAGAAUAAAUUAUCGUUAGACUUCAACAGUGUUAAACUGAUACAAUAUAACAAACAUCAAGUUUAACUGCAGCGGAACAAGCAAUCCAUUAGAAGAGUCAAGUAGAGAAUAAAAUCUACUAUCUUCUAUGAUUUAAAAGAUUUUUUAUCACUUUUAUCGCUGAGACUCAGCUUAAUAAAUAAUCCACAUCAUCAAAUCAUCCCUGCACUACAGGCCCAGGAUAUUCUUUAGUAUCACGACCACGAAUUAUCCAUGCACUAGCUACGGGCCAAAGAUAAUCGUGUUUUCAUCAAUGGUCCUGAUAAUGCCAUAAAACAAUUCAUCUUUUCACCCUUGGCUGAAGAGAAUCCAUAGCCAUAAUCAUACCAAAAACUGUCCAUCAAUGCACUAUGGGCCAAUGAGGACUUUUUCCACAUCAUUUGUAACAUUACGGUCAUGAUUAUACCUAAUAAUCCCUAGUCAUAAUCAUACCAAGUCCAUCUAUGCACUACAGGCCACAGAUGACUUUCAACAUAAUAUAAACAUGAGGAUAAUUACAAUGACAUAAUAAUUCAAUAAAAUAAGUUCAAGAAUUAAUUUAUCCAGUAACCAAUAAUGUCCAAAUUGUCAACACGAUACUUCUUUGUGCAGUAAAAUUCAAGAAUUCUCAGAAGAAUAUUUCCAUGAAAAGAUACUGGAUGAAGCGCAAAUAUCAAGGAUAUUCCACUAAUUUCAUGGAGUAUAGAAGCCAAAACUUUAAUCAAAUGAGUAUCAUAGAAUAUAUGAAACUGCAAUGGAUUUUCACCCGCCAUGCGGUAAUCCACGUAGACAGAUCAUUUCCACAAUUUAAUAAGAAAUGAAUACGAAGGGUCAUUCACCAUGCAUGUGGUAAUACACAUAGACAGGUUAUUCCAACAGAAUAAUAAAAAAUAGAAUAAUAGAAGAAUUCACCAUGCAUGCGAUAGACCGCACAGACAGGUUAUUCCAACAGAAUAAUAAAUAAUGGAAUCAGGUCAUGCGUAAACGCAGAGAUAGGAUAUUCCAACAGAAUAAUAAAUAAUGGAACCAGGUCAUGCGUAAACGCAGAGACAGGAUAUUCCAACAGAAUAAUAAAUAAUGGAACCAGGUCAUGCGUAAACGCCUAGACAAGAUAUUCCAACAGAAUAAUAAAGAAUGGAAUAACAAAAGACUUCAUCAGGCAUACGAUAAACCACACAGACAGGUUAUUCCAAUAGAAUCAUAAAGAAUGGAAUAACAGAAGAAUUUCACCAUGUAUGCGGUACUUCGCAUAGACAGGUUAUUCCAACAUAAUAAUAAAGAAUGGAAUAAUAGAAGCUCUCUUCAUGAAUACGAAAAAAAAUAAUACCCCUUACCUUAGAAAGAAGAGUAUUCAGACUGGUAGGGCGAUGAUAUUCUUGAAGAAAACUUAUAUUGUUUUCUACGCUCAAAGCUUCUUAAAACUCUAAAGAAACACGCUCAAGAUUAUAGAAGAAGAAUUCUCUGAAUUUCUGGUGUGUUUUCAAUUCUAACUAAGCAUCCUAUUUAUAGGAGAAUGGAAAGGAUACUAUGCAAUAAAAUAUAAUAUAUUCUAUUUAUAAAAUAUAUAUAUAUAUAUAUNNNNNNNNNNNNNNNNNNNNNNNNNNNNNNNNNNNNNNNNNNNNNNNNNNNNNNNNNNNNNNNNNNNNNNNNNNNNNNNNNNNNNNNNNNNNNNNNNNNNNNNNNNNNNNNNNNNNNNNNNNNNNNNNNNNNNNNNNNNNNNNNNNNNNNNNNNNNNNNNNNNNNNNNNNNNNNNNNNNNNNNNNNNNNNNNNNNNNNNNNNNNNNNNNNNNNNNNNNNNNNNNNNNNNNNNNNNNNNNNNNNNNNNNNNNNNNNNNNNNNNNNNNNNNNNNNNNNNNNNNNNNNNNNNNNNNNNNNNNNNNNNNNNNNNNNNNNNNNNNNNNNNNNNNNNNNNNNNNNNNNNNNNNNNNNNNNNNNNNNNNNNNNNNNNNNNNNNNNNNNNNNNNNNNNNNNNNNNNNNNNNNNNNNNNNNNNNNNNNNNNNNNNNNNNNNNNNNNNNNNNNNNNNNNNNNNNNNNNNNNNNNNNNNNNNNNNNNNNNNNNNNNNNNNNNNNNNNNNNNNNNNNNNNNNNNNNNNNNNNNCUUAAUAAUCAUAAUUUUUGGUUGUUUAAAUAAAAUUGAAUUGAUACAGUACUAGUAAUUGGAAUUUAUCAAUUAGAAUUCUCUGAGGGAUCGACACUCUAAUUUAUCACUAUAUUACUUGUUGACCGUGUAUACUUGCACGUAUUCAUUGAUUGCGAAAUUGAUCAACAAGUUUUUGGCGCCGUUGCCGGGGAAUUAGUUUAAUAUUUUUUCCAUAUUAGUUAUAAUCAAUUCGGUCUUAAUUUAAACGUUACUUAAUCUUUCUUCUUGUUUUCGCAGGAAUUCUUUGCAAGUGUAUGCACACUAGAUCAAGGGCACGAAGGGAAUUUUUUUCCUUAUAUCGACGAAAUCGAAAGAAAAUUCCGGAAAGAGCAAUCGACUAGUGCGGUAACACCUGAGGAAGAAAAACUGGCGGACCAAGGAAUUCCAGAGAACAUAGCAGGGAACGAUCAGAAAUCACUUCGGGAUUAUGCCAUGCCGAAUGUCACGGAUAUACAGUCGAGCAUUAGGAGACCGGCAAUCACUGCUAACAAUUUUGAGAUCAAAUCAGCAACCAUUCAAAUGCUUCAGAAUCAAUGUCAGUUUGGGGGUGGUCCAUUAGAUGAUCCUAAUGAGCAUAUCCUGAGCUUCUUGGAAGUUUGCGACACCUUCAAAUUCAACAAUGUGUCGGAAGAUGCUACAAGGUUGAGAAUGUUCCCAUUUACUUUGAAAGACAAAGCACGCAGUUGGUUAUAUGCUCAGCCCCCUGAAUCAAUCCACACUUGGGAUGACUUAGCUCAAAAAUUUCUAGCUAAGUUUUUCCCACCAGCCAAAUCAGCAAAACUACGGAAUGAUAUUCAUACCUUCGCACAGUUUGAUUCGGAAUCGUUGUAUGAGGCGUGGGAAAGGUUUAAGGACAUGUUCCUCAAGUGCCCGCACCAUGGAAUUCCACAGUGGAUGCAAUUAGCGAUAUUCUGCGAUGGUUUAAAAGCAUCCACAAGGGCAAGUAUUGAUGCAGUAGCAGGAAGAGCGAUUAUGUCUAAAAACCUUGAAGAUGCAUUUCAGUUGUUAGAAACGAUGGCCACCAACAAUUACCAGUGGCCCAUGACGAGGUCUAAUCCUCCGAAAGCAGCGGGAAAGUAUGAUGUGGAUGCGAUAACAUCUUUACAAGUGCAAGUGUCCGCAAUGUCUAAGCAGAUGGAAUUAAUGCGCCCACAAUCCACUCAGCAGGUAGCUAUGGUCUGUAAAAUUUGUGCUGGGGGUCACACUACGGAUCAAUGUGCCAUCAAUGCCGAAGCAGCACAAUAUGUGGGGAGUUAUAGUAGGUCUAAUCAGCCUUAUCCGAACCAAAAUACAUAUAAUCCGGGGUGGAGAAAUCAUCCUGGAUUUUCAUGGAGCAACAACCAAGCUACAGAACAAGCACCGAGACAGAAAAACAAUUCCGGGUUUCAAAACCAGACACAACAACCCGCGCGGAAAGCAAGCUGGGAAGAAGCUUUGGAAAGAUUUGUUAAGGCAUCUGAGAAAAGGCACAAUGAGAGUGAUAAAAGAUUGGAUCAAGUGGAGAUGAGUAUACAAAGUCAGACUGCAUCAAUUAAAAACAUAGAAAAUCAAUUGGGACAAUUGGCACAUGCAUUGAAUUACCGACCACUUGGAACACUUCCAAGCGACACUGAGAAAAACCCGGGCAGAGAUGAGCAUUGUAAAGCGGUAACUCUACGGAGUGGGAAAGAACUACAACACUCGGUCACGGACAAGGAAAAGGAGGACAAGGCACAAAUCGAAAUAGAGAAAGGGCUGGAUACCGAAAAGCAUCAAGAGGAGAUCUCACAGUAGAAAAAUUCGGAACCAACCAGUACAAUGCCUCCCAUACCGUAUCCGCAGAGAUUUUAGAAAUCCAAGUUAGAUAAGCAAUUCUUACGGUUUUUGGAUAUCUUCAAGAAAUUGCACAUCAACAUCCCCUUCGCCGAAGCCUUGGAACAGAUGCCGAGUUAUGCGAAGUUUAUGAAGGAGGUGUUGUCAAAGAAGAGGAAAUUGGGUGAAUUUGAGACUAUAGCAUUGACAGAAGAAUGCAGUGCUAUCAUUCAGAAUAAGUUACCGCCAAAGCUCAAGGACCCAGGUAGCUUCAAUAUACCGUGCGAGAUUGGAAAUCAGUUUUCUGGACGAGCGUUAUGUGAUUUGGGGGCCAGUAUUAAUCUAAUGCCAUUAUCCGUCUACAGCCCAUUCAGACUUCAGGCUCCACGCCCAACAAAUAUCAGUUUGCAGUUAGCGGAUAGAUCGGUUACAUAUCCACGAGGUAUAGUUGAAGAUGUGCUUAUAAAAGUGGAUAAAUUCAUCUUCCCCGCGGAUUUCUUUAUUCUUGAUUGUGAAGUGGACAGUGAGAUUCUGAUCAUUCUUGGGCGACCAUUUUUGGCAACAGGCAGAACAUUGAUUGAUGUUCAAAAAGGUGAAUUGACAAUGCGAGUUGAAGAUCAACAUGUCACCUUUAACGUCUUCAAGUCAAUGUCGUAUCCUAAAGAAACAAACGAAUGUAUGCGGGUUGAUAUCAUGGAGGAAUUGGUGAAUCAUAAAUUCAGCACAACUUUUUCGGAGGACCCACUUGAAUCUAUUUUUCUCGGGGCAGACGAAUAUGGUAUUGAAGAAGAUAUCGAAUACGUCAAAUGGUUAGACACACCAGCAGUUUUCCGAAAAAGCACGCAAUCCUUCGACACCAUAGAGAGACCCGAAGCUGAAGGUAAGAAGUUCAAACCGUCAAUAGAAGAGCCACCGAUGCUAGAGUUAAAGCCAUUACCACCCCAUCUACAAUAUGCUUAUUUGGGAAAAGACGAGACCCUACUAGUUAUUAUUUCCACAGAAUUGACUGAUACACGAAAGGAAAAACUGCUACGGGUUUUGCAAGAAUUCAAAAUAGCAAUUGGAUGGACUAUAGCUGACAUUCGAGGUAUUAGCCCAUCAUUCUGCAUGCAUAAAAUCUUAAUGGAGGAAGGGGCAAAACCAACCAUCGAGAUGCAAAGAAGGCUAAACCCCAUCAUGAAGGAGGUGGUGAAGAAGGAAAUAAUAAAGUAGUUGGACGCCGACAUUAUUUACCCAAUCUCAGAUAGUUCAUGGGUAAGUCCUGUACAAUGCGUACCAAAGAAAGGGGGUAUGACAGUGGUGAAGAAUGAAGCGAAUGAGCUCAUCCCUACUCGAACAGUCACAGGAUGGAGAGUGUGCAUGGACUACCGCAAGUUAAAUAAAGCCACACGUAAGGAUCACUUUCCCUUACCAUUCAUUGAUCAGAUGUUGGAUAGGCUAGCGGGACAUCAGUUCUAUUGUCUCUUGGAUGGUUAUCCGGGAUAUAAUCAAAUUGUUAUUGCAUCGGAGGAUCAAGAGAAAACGACAUUCACAUGCCCUUACGGUACGUUUGCAUUUCGGCGAAUGUCUUUUGGUCUAUGCAACGCACCAGCGACUUUCCAGCGGUGCAUGAUGGCGAUCUUCUCCUGUAUGGUAGAGAAAAUUUGGAGGUAUUUAUGGACGAUUUUUUCGUGUUUGGUGAUAGCUUUGAUCUUUGCUUGCAAAAUCUGAUGUUAGUAUUAAAACGAUGCAUGGAGACUAAUCUAGUUCUUAACUGGGAAAAAUGUAACUUCAUGGUGAAGGAAGGGAUUAUUCUUGGGCAUAGGGUUUCUGCAGCUGGAUUAGAGGUGGAUAAAGCAAAGAUUGAGACUAUUGAGAAAUUACCACCUCCAUCAUCUAUGAAGGGAAUCCGGAGCUUUUUGGGACAUGCGGGUUUCUAUCGACGUUUCAUCAAAGAUUUUUCAAAAAUCUCAAAACCUUUAUGUUCCUUGUUAGAGAAAGAUGUGCCUUUCAAACUAGAUCAGUCAUGUAUCGAGGCAUUCGAGUUUCUAAAGAAGAAGUUGGUAUCUGCUCCGAUCAUUAUGGCGCCCGAUUGGUCUCUACCAUUCGAAUUGAUGUGCGACGCCAGCGAUUAUGCAGUGGGAGCAGUUUUGGGUCAACGUCGUAACAAAAUCUUCCAUACAAUCUAUUACUCAAGCAAGACGUUGAUAGAUGCUCAGUUGAAUUACACAACCACCGAAAAAGAACUACUUGCAGUUGUGUUCGCCUUCGACAAAUUUAGAGCCUACCUCAUCGGAACCAAGGUCAUUGUCUACACGGACCAUUCCGCAAUCAAGUAUUUGAUAGAAAAGAAGGAUGCCAAACUGAGGUUAAUCCGUUGGGUGUUACUGCUGCAGGAGUUUGACUUGGAGAUCCGGGAUAGAAAGGGUGCAGAAAAUCAAGUAGUAGAUCAUCUAUCCCGGUUGGAAAAUGAUGAGGUGCAAAGGAAGGACAAUGCAUUGAUUAACGAAAAAUUUCCAGACGAACAGCUUCUACGAGUGACCACAACACUGCCCUGGUAUGCUGAUUAUGUGAACUAUGUGGUUGCUAAAGUGUUACCUCCGGAUUUGAACUCGCAGCAACGAAAGAAAUUCCUCCAUGACGUGAAGCAAUAUUAUUAGGAUGAACCGUUCUUGUUUAAAGCCUGCGCGGAUCAAAUGAUUAGACGUUGUGUACCUCAUGAAGAGAUGGACAGUAUCUUAGGUCAUUGCCAUUCAUCCGAUUAUGGAGGACAUUAUUUCGGAGAUCGAACUGCGGCCAAGGUAUUACAAUCUGGAUUUUACUGGCCUUCGUUAUUCAAGGAUGCAUAUCUCUAUGUGCUAAAGUGUGACAGAUGCCAACGCGUUGGUAAUAUCUCCAAGCGAAACGAGAUGCCACUCAACUCUAUUUUGGAGGUAUAAUUGUUCGACGUUUGGGGCAUCGAUUUCAUGGGCCCGUUCCCCUCAUCGUUCAAUAAUCAGUAUAUUCUAUUGGCGGUGGAUUAUGUUUCCAAAUGGGUAGAAGCCGCAGCGUUGCCCACAAAUGAUGCUAACGUAGUCCUUUGAUUCUUGAAGAAAAAUAUUUUCACGCGUUUUGGGACUCCUCGGGAAAUAAUAAGUGAUGAGGGAACACAUUUUUGCAACAAGCAGUUCACAAAGUUACUGGUGAAAUAUGGGGUUCGACAUAAAAUCGCCGCUGCAUAUCACCCUCAAACCAAUGGCCAAGCUGAGGUCUCGAAUAAGGAGGUCAAGAGAAUUCUGGAAAAGGUGGUCAAUCCGACACGAAAAGAUUGGUCUUUACGUCUUGACGAUGCUCUAUGGGCAUAUCGUAUAGCAUAUAAGAAUCCAAUCGGUAUGUCACCUUAUCGUAUGGUUUAUGGAAAAGCGUGUCACCUCCUAGUCGAGCUAGAACAUAGUGCAUACUGGGCCAUUCGGAAGCUCAAUUUUGAUGAACAAGCAGCGGGUGAGCAAAGGUUACUACAGUUAAACGAGAUGGAUGAAUUCAGCUUCAACGCUUACGAAAUUGCAAAACUCUAUAAGGAGAAAGUCAAGGCUUGGCACGAUAAGAAAAUUCUCGAUAAAACAUUUGAAUCGGGCCAACAAGUUUUGCUUUUCAAUUCGAGACUGCGUUUAUUCCCAGGGAAACUGAAAUCACGUUGGUCAGGACCUUUUACAGUUGUAUCUGUUGCCCCACAUGGCAACAUUGAGAUAGAAAAACCCAAUUCAAAUUGCAAAUUCAAGGUUAACGGUCAGCGACUCAAACAUUACUGGAGUGGACCUAUUGAAAGGCAAACGUCGCUCGUAACUCUCAACGAUCCAGCGAACAAUUGAGCAAACUAGAAAAGUCGGGCCGCCGACAGUAAACCAAGCGCUUAUUGGGAGGCAACCCAAUCAAUUUUAUUUUAUUUUAUUUUAUUUUAUUUUUCUUUAUUUCAUUUUAUUUCAUAGAGUAUUUUAUUUUAUUCUUUUUAUCUAUCGCUUAAAUUGUCUUUAAUUUUUUUAGCAUUAGAGAGUAAAGUUACUCAUCAUGGCGGGUGAUUAAUUAAAUUACAUGUUGUAGGUGAACAGAGCUGUGCACGCGGAAGUCUUGAGGCUGCUGCCUAAUAGCGCCCCGGCGCUGCCUAAUAGGAAAGAGCGCCCCGACGCUAAGGGGUUAUACAAGUUUCUGACCAAGAUCACCCCGGCGCUAAUUACAAGUACAAUUGUAGCGCCCCAGCGCUAAAGGCUUCUUGAACAUACUACUUAAGAGCGCCCUGGCGCUGUUUCCCUAUACAAAAAGAGCGCCCCGGCGCUAAUGGUCGGUCCAGAGUCCUAAUGUUAAUAUAACUGCUGCACAGUUACACUUCUUCCCUUUAUUAGAAUACGUCUCUUCCCUCUCCAUCUCCUACACGCUCACUUUCUCUCUUUCACUUGAAUACACCGAAAUUGUAAGGCUUCUCAAUUUCUAGGGUUCCAUCCUUCAGUAGUGACUCAAUUCUCUUCUUUCCUACAAUCAUCUACCAAGGUAUGUUCAAUGUUUUACUUUUAUUUUCGUUCAACAAGCAUGGGUAUUGAUUUGUUUGGUAAGUGUUCUAUACUCAGAUGUGUCUCUCAUCUAUAGAUACACGUUUUUAUUGUUCCAUCUUGCAUAAUAGCCAUAAAUUGCUUACUUGAAAGUAGAUGUUGCCUCAAUGGGAUAUUUUUGAUCACUAAGAGGUAUGAAUUGAAAGUAACGUAGUGCAAAUCUAAGUAAUUGAUGUGUUGCCUCUUAGAUGUUUGAUGGAUUACCUGAAUGAACAAUCCUUUCCACAUGCACACUUAUAACUAUGUCUAAGCACUAUCACUCUUGAUCCAUGUGCCACCACAAUGCGUUCAAUUUACUGUAGCACUUGUUCUUGACUCCCAUCACACAUACUGACUUAGAGUGGGGAUGGUAUAUAUUAAUCUAUGCAUAUCUUUUACGACACUCUAUAAUCAUUCUUUUGGGCAUCUCUUGUGUUGAAUGUGCCAACUCUAUAAACGGAUGAGCCCAUGACCCCAUUGGUACACUUGUGCCUAUACCAGUGUUCUCUUGUCAAACAUCACCCCCGCAAAUGUGCUCAAUGUCCAUAUGUUUUUCCAAUUUUGGGGGUCGAAUCAUACAUUGAUUUAUUAAAAUUCCAAAAUAUAUGCAAUCCUAAUAUACAUAUGCUUGUACUUGCAGAUUCGCUUUAUGGCAUCAAAACGACAGCGUGGUGAAAGAUCAGGGACAGCCUCGUCUCCACCUCCGAGAUUUGACAACCGCCGAUUUGUCAGUCUCGCAGCUCAGGAAAGGUACAACCGAAUGGCUACUCGAUCAUUGGUUCCUGAACGAGGGUUGAGUCCGGAUCCAGCUAAGGAUGGUGACAUGGCAGUUAUGAUAGCCGGAAGAAAUUGGUUCACACUCACCACCCAGCCUGAUCCCGCGGCUAUAGCAAUGGUGAAAGAAUUUUACACCAACGUGCCCGAGCAUGAUCAUUAUACAGUCUUCGUCAGGGGCAAAACAGUGGAAAUUGGCGAAGAAGACUUCAAUGCAUGUUAUCAGCUGCCACUAGAAGGUUUUCAAGAUGAAUAUGCUAGGCUUGUGAGUGAUGGGCCAGAUUACGAGCAAAUAAUUCGUGAGCUUUGUCAACUAGGCACUACAUGGACGGUUCAGGAUCGCGGAAACAUGACCUUCCCACUAUCGAAUCUCAGCUUAUAUGGGAAGGCAUGGUAUGCGUUUAUUUGCGCAAAACUCAUGCCAUGCACCCAUGUGAGUCAUGUUACCAGGGAACGUGCAGUGCUUCUUUACGCAAUCGUCAAAGGAUUUAAAAUUGAUGUGGGCCAUCUCGUUUUGCAAUUUGUCCUUCGAGCAUCUCGUUGAAGUACCACUGGAGGAUUACCACAUCCGUCUCUCAUCUGCGUAUUAUGUGAAAAGUUCGGCGUCAAAUGGAAGUCAGACGAGAUGAUACACAAGCCUAUGCUAGUGCUGGACCAUAAGUUAAUCAGCAGGUACAAAGUGUGGACUGGGGGAGCUAAUCACCCUAGGGGAUUAGGUUUCAUAAUUCCCCAAGCUGAGCAAUCUCAAGUUCCAUCCUCCCAGGCUCCACCUACUUACGGUCCCUCGUCUACGGCGUAUCGAAGUAUGGUUCCCGAAGCUGUUCAGCGAGAAAUCAAUGGUUGGUUCUACAAUCUUGAAGCCCAAAAAUUUCCGCCUGUCUGAGCGCCAAGAUGUUAUUUUUAAGUAUUUAGUUGAUCAAUUUGCCGCCCAGAAUGCGAUGAAUGCUCAGCAAUUUCCAAAUGUUAGUAUCAGUCAGUUUCCAUCUGCCCCAGUCCUGCCAGUUUUUCCCCCGUCCGAUCUAGAAAUGAGCGAGGAUGAUGAUGAUCAAGCCGAUGCUUAAGCUCCUCAGGGAAGUCCUCUGUUUUAUUUUGUUUUAUCUUUCGCAUGAGGACAUUGCUCUAGAUAAGUUUGGGGGUAGUUAGUUGUUUGAGAUUUAUUUUUCUUAGUUGCAUGAGUAAAUUUGCUUUUAGUUGUCAUGUUAAUUCCAACUUUUGAUAGUGAGUAUAUUUGAAGGCCAAUGAUGAACUUAAAAUUGCAUGAACAAGUCUAGUAAGGAUUGUUGAGUCAGUGAUAUGAUAUUCUUGACAUGAUUUGAAUCCCUAUCUGUUUGACAUUGAUGUUUUAAGGAUAACACUUUUGGAAAGAUGACCAUGUUAGCUAUGAUAGUUUAAAUGGAUAGAUAAUAGAGUUCUCAAGGUUGAAUGCUAGUGAAAUAAAGGAACAAGUUAAGUAGCUAGUGAAAAUUGAAUUUAGACUUGAACUUAAGUUGGGAACAAUAUAUGGAAUAUAUAAGCUUUGAGCUAUAUAUAAAAAAAUAUAUAUAUAUAUAUAUUUAAUAAUAUCGUGACUAGUCUUAUUUCGGGGCCUUUGUUACUUGAGCAAGUACGCCCAAAGGGGUAUCUUAAAACCUAGCGCCCUAAGGUCUUAUAUGGUCUGGGAGUCGUUGGUCGAAAGCUCACUAAGGGGUAGCAUUGUUAGCCUAAUGGAAUGAGACAUUGCACAGUUAUAAAAAAAAAUUAAAAAAAAACGGGAAAAGAGCAAAAUGCCCCCGUUUAGCAAAAAUAAGCAUAAGUAUUCCAUGUUGAAUCCUGAAUUUUGGUGAUUGUUUAAUUUCAGUUGAAUUUAGUUUAUUUAAUGAGUUCUUGAGUUGAACUGUAUGACACUUAUUAAGAACUUUACUAUCUUUCAGAUUUUUGCUUGUCAUUAGUUAUUAUGGUUGUUGAACACACACUCACAAUGUCAGUAAUAACAGAUUUUGAUUGAUUGAUUGUUGGGAUAUUGUUGAUCUGUUUGAACAUGAAGUAUUAGCAUGUUUUUGUGAUUUUUCUGAGGCCUAUGGAUAUUCGUUAACUAUUGAAUUGCUGGAAUUAAGGUCCUUUAGUUAGUUUGCAUUUGCAUGAUGUUUAGUUAAUUGUGUUGUGUUUUGUUGCCUGAGGACAUGCAACGAUUUAAGUUUGGGGGUAUUUGAUGAUUGGGUAAUAUACCCAUGAAUUAAUUACGUUUAACCUUAAUUUGUUAUGUGUUCGAAGCGUUUUAGUAUUAUUUUACUCGUUUUAGUGUGUUGUGGCAGGAGUGUGCAUUGAUUGGGAGCAAUUAGGAACAAUUUGGAACAAUUGGACUGAAAAAGGAGGCAGGAGUCAGUUUCUGAUGAAGAGCGUCGAGGCGCUGUUUCGUAGGCUUAAAAGAGCGCCGGGGCGCUAGUCCUCGGUCAACUCAGGAAGAGACGCGCGCAUGAGGAACAGACGUGGGAUCUUUAUUGACUUGAUGUUGACUUUAUUUAAUGAGAAUUAGAAGCCUAAUUGGGAAAGGAUUGUUGGAAUUGGACAGAAUAAUAUAAAUAGAUUUAUUCUUAUUGAAUGAAGACAACUCUACACAAUUGAAGACUGGAGCAAGGAGGAAGAGGAGAUCUGAAGGCUACAACUUGGAGUUUUUCUUCCCCUUUAUUCUUUUAAUUGCUUAACUUCUAAAAGAUGAUUUAUCAAUUAUUUAUGGUUUUUAUUUUCGUUAUGAACUAAUUCUUUUUAUUAAGAUUCCAAUGGAACCUUUUAUAGUUAUGAAUUGAUUAUUUAAUUUAUUCCAAUUAUUUAUGUUGAAGUGAAUUGUUCAUCAUGCCUUGUAUUCAUUGAUUAAUUAUCUGGCCAAUAAUUACCGGGUUACUCUAGAUGGAAUCGAGAGAGGAAGUCUAGGGUUAGAACUGGGCAUGGUGACAUGUGACUUAGUUAUUUGCACAGUGAAUAAUUAGGUUUGUGAAUAGAAUGAGAAUAUCUAUUUGCCGCAUGUAACACAUAAGGAAUUGGGUUUGUAACGAGUUUAAUUCAAUUGUUUUGCAUAGAGAUAUAGCAAAAUUAAUCUGGGUUAAAUAGAAGGCAAUUGAUCGCUCGAGAGAGGACUUUUGGCACUUGAGAAUUCAUGUUAACAAUUCAGUAGGCAUAAUAGUUGGGAUAAUUGAAUAGUUGAUUUAAUAAUCAUAAUUGGGGAAAUUGGAGUCUUAAUUAUCAUUCAUCUGCAUUCAAAUAAUUGUCAAUUUGUUUUUGCUUUCUUUUAACAUAAUUUCUUAAAUACAAUUGCAAUUAGUUUUCUUAGNNNNNNNNNNNNNNNNNNNNNNNNNNNNNNNNNNNNNNNNNNNNNNNNNNNNNNNNNNNNNNNNNNNNNNNNNNNNNNNNNNNNNNNNNNNNNNNNNNNNNNNNNNNNNNNNNNNNNNNNNNNNNNNNNNNNNNNNNNNNNNNNNNNNNNNNNNNNNNNNNNNNNNNNNNNNNNNNNNNNNNNNNNNNNNNNNNNNNNNNNNNNNNNNNNNNNNNNNNNNNNNNNNNNNNNNNNNNNNNNNNNNNNNNNNNNNNNNNNNNNNNNNNNNNNNNNNNNNNNNNNNNNNNNNNNNNNNNNNNNNNNNNNNNNNNNNNNNNNNNNNNNNNNNNNNNNNNNNNNNNNNNNNNNNNNNNNNNNNNNNNNNNNNNNNNNNNNNNNNNNNNNNNNNNNNNNNNNNNNNNNNNNNNNNNNNNNNNNNNNNNNNNNNNNNNNNNNNNNNNNNNNNNNNNNNNNNNNNNNNNNNNNNNNNNNNNNNNNNNNNNNNNNNNNNNNNNNNNNNNNNNNNNNNNNNNNNNNNNNNNNNNNNNNNNNNNNNNNNNNNNNNNNNNNNNNNGAAUAUUCCCCGACCAAUCGAAUAUUAUAUAACAACUUGCUUACUUUUCAAAAUUUAUAAAUACUACCCACAACUAUAACACUAUCUCAAAUCCACACCAUAAUAUUCAAAAAAAUAUUUCGAGAAAAUUAAAUCUUUAUUCAUAAAAUCUGGGGUCUCACAUGACCCAUAAUUUCACAAGAUUCUGUCUCUUUUAAAGAAAGCUGGUCUGUAAGAAUCUUUAAGCACCAGCACAUGGAUAUAUCCGAAGCUGGUGAAAAAGUUCUACAACAAUGGAGUCUUUGAGAAUGACAUCAUCACCACAAGGGUCAAUGGAGUACAAAUUAAACUCAAGGCUGAAGAUAUAAACCUAGCCCUAGGUUUUAAAUCAAAGGGACUUGCAUCUAUGGAAGUCAUCGACUUUCAUGAAGGUCUAAAGAAGACGUGUCACACAAAGUUUCAAAACUUCAAGGGAUACAAGAAGAAAGAGUUUCCCCAGAAGUAUAAGUUUCUGGCUGAUAUUGUUGGGAAGUGCAUAUGCUGUAAAAGCUCUGGCCACGACCCUAUGAAUGAAGUACAACUGAAGCUCAUGAUAGCAAUCUGCUUCAAGAUUCAACUCAACUAUGGGGCCUUACUCAUCGAUUGGAUUAGGAAGUGGAUACUUAGUUCAAAGAAAUCAAAGAACUCUAGAAGGAUGCUCUAAGGGCGGUUUAUAAGCAUAAUCCUGCAAACAGCACUGGGUGACAAAAUAGGGGACAAUGAAGGAGAAUCCAUCAAUCCCAAUAGAAAGAUGACUCAGCAGCUGUUUCAAAACUGGAAAAGAAAUCCUGCAAAAAAGUCAGAAUAAUGUCUGAAUCCAGUGGAAGGACAGGUGAAGCAAAGGAGUCUGGGCUACCAGAAAAUAUGUCAGUUGUGAAGGAAACUGAUGAAAAAGAAGAAAUUAAUGAAGAGGAACCCAUCGCUUUGGUCAGAAAAAGCAAGGGUAACAGGAAAAAUGAAGGCUCAGAUGAUAGAGGAGCCUCAAGGCUCAACCACUGAUGCACCCCAAAAGAGUUCAGGCACUGGAACUCUGAAGGAAAUAAAGGGGAAAAAAUAGCAAUCUGAGGAGGAAGAAGACAGAGCUACCAUCUCUCAACUGCUUAAGAAGGGAAAAUGCAGCCAUAAAUUAAAGAAGUCUUUGAUCGUAGAGUCACUACAGAUCGUAGAGUAAAGACUUGAUGUAACUCCAGAAGUAGAUGAUGUAACAGUUUCUCAACUAGAUCAAACUUUCAGAGCUGAAGCUGAAGAGGGUACUGAGGCUAUGGCUCAGCUUAAGAAAACAAAGAGAAAGCUUGUCAAGAAAUACAUUCUUGUCAAUGAAGGAGUCUUAAAGGAGGAAGACAAAAGAAUAGCUACUAAGAAAGAGCAAUCUGAAGCCAUUAAGGAGAAUACAGCUUAGGUUGAGGGGAGCUUCCUAAAGAACUAGAACAGGUAGAGGAUCAAAUUGAGGGGGAGCCUUGUGAAGUUCCUGUGACAAAUAAGACUAUAGCUGAGGAGGAACUGCAAAAAGAUUAUCAUGAACAUCCCUCAGUUCCUCAAGAUGUCUUAGCUUCUGAAACUGAAGAAAUGGAGAGGGUUGAAGCUAUGGAGGUAGAGAAUGCAUACGAACAAAGAAGAGAAGUGGAGAUGAUUGACGUGGUCAAAAUAUCAAAUGAAGACCAGGAAGAAGAAGAGGAUGACGAAGUUAAAAUUAUAGCAGUGGGCUGUGAUGGAUAUAGGAGAGCCAACUAUAAUCAAUUGAUCUCUUAUUUACCUAUGAUGCCCUUUCAUAUAGCCUAAAUCCUCAACUCUUGGGUUCACAUGUUCUGGACCUUCAAAGCUUAUCCAGUAAUCUCUAUGCUAGCUCAUGGAUUUCCAGGUAACCUUAUUUUUGCCCAAAAGCUGAUCACUAACAGUCCCUCUUCAAAAAAUGGGCAUGAGGUACAAUCUAUUCCCAUCUCUUUCAGGGUUAGUCACUGUCCACCAUCAACCUUUAACCAAUUCUACGAAUUGCCAAGACGGUUGGAAGUGAUACUUCAUCCACUAAAUCAAUUUCCAGUUACAUAAUCCCAACAUUCUAUAAAUGAUGAACCAUAUAUGCCAAAUUUUGUAAUGAUCCAGUCUCCUACAAUCUCUCACUCUAAGAUUAUUGAUUCUACUCCAAUCGUAGAGUCACCUCCUCCUGAAAUUCAACCUCACACACCUGCUCCUCCUUCAGAUAUUCCCUCUUCAUCAACAAAUAAUUAUUUUGACCUUGAUCUUAUUUUCUACAAUCUGCAAAGUCAAAAUACUAGAGCCUCUCCUCCAAAUUCUCAGCAACUUCUUAAGCUUAUCUCAGAUCUUCCUACCAAAAUAGAGCUAUCUAAUGCAUCUCAAUAUGUGACCAAGGAUAUUCAAGAAGAUCUUGAAGUACACUUUGAGCUUGUUCAUAUCAGGCUGACUCAUUUGAUCGAUGCUGCUAACACCCUUCCCAACAAGCUGAGUACUGAGCUUAUAAAGAACCUUAGAGAGAGUAUCAAGGAAAUAAUCCAAAGUAUCAAUGAAAUGGAUCAAAUUCACUUUCAAGCUGCCAAGAAGCACAAGAAAGCAGUUCUCCUGUUGCGAAAGACUCAAGAAUCUCAGAAUAAACUUAUGAUAGAAAGUCUAUCAAGUCUAUAAACCUCAAUAAAAGAAUUCCAAGAAUUCUCCAUGGGUCAAAUGCAAGAAACAGAAAUUGUCUUGGCCAUUCUACAAAAGAACAUAUCUUGAACUGAUUCUUUGGUCCUAGAAAACCGUGAAGACAUUGCUCAAUCCAAGAAUCAGCUCCACGAACUCGUCCAAGGUAUGCAUCGACUGUGAGAAGAAAUUCGAACCCUUGAUGCUGACAUAAAGGAGGAGAAUAAAGGGGAAAGAGAGAAAGGCAAAGGCAGAGGCAAGUUCAUUGCUCAAUCUUCAAGGAGCCCUCCCUCAAGACAGACUCGCCAGCAGACUCCAUGACCUAAGCAGCAAUAAAUUAUCAUGGCACAACGGCUAAGGAGUCAAGGGCCAUCUCCCAACUCACAAGGGGUAACCACUACUGGCCUACAUAUGCCAAUUAGAGACCCUGCCUUUAUGAAUAGACAUGAUCAUGCAAAAAUGUUGAGUCAAAGCCAGCUGGAAGAUAUUACAUGGAGAGACGAAGGCAACAGGACAAGGAGAGCAGCAGAGCAUGCAAGGAAUACAUGUACAAGGACUUAGUGGUAGAUCAAAAAAUUGUUAGGUUUGAUAUGUGCUUUAUGUUUAUCAUUCUGUGAAUGAAUGUAUAGAAGAGAAUAUCAAAGUUGUUAGGUUAAUCUAACUUGUGAGAUGUAAUAGAUAGGCAUCAAUAGAAUCAUAGUAUGUCAACCCAGUCAAGAAAUUACAGAAGCCAAGGCAGAAUCGUAGAGCAUCGAGAAUCAUAGUCUGUCUGUGACGCCCCCAAAAUAGGUAUACAACACCCAUUCUGAAUCGCUAGAUACAUGGUACAGAAACAACUACAACUUUAUUAAUACAAUUGUCGUGCAAAAUACAACAACACAUAAACUGUGUGUUUAAAUACAAAUAUUGUCAUCUAGAUAAUAUCCACACUCAAAUAAGUCCUCAUUACAAUUAUUGAUACACUAUUAUACAAAAUAGUGAGGACUACUAAGACAACUUCUAGAACCAUCAUUCCAUAUCCCGACUAGUACUCGCAACAUUCUCGCCUCCUGAGAAGAAAAAUGGAACAAAAAGGAAAAGGGUGAGCUCAACUAGCCCAGUAAAGAAUAUUAUGACUAAGAUAAUAUAGAAAAAAUUAUCGUUAGUCUUCAACAGGGAAAAAUCUGAUAGAAUACAAUAGACAACAAGUUUUAAAUCAACAUUCGCAGCGUAAAUAAUAAUUCAUAGAAGAGUUACGUAGAGAAUGAAAUCUACUAUUAUCUAUGAAUUUAAAAGUCCAUCAUCAAUAUUUUAUCCCUAUAACAUCAAUCAAUAUACAUCUUAAGUCAAAUAUUCAUCUUUGCACUACGGGCCAAAGAUAUUCAUAAGAAAAUCAACCAUCUUUGCACUACAGGCCAAAAAUAUUCAGUAAUAUCAUCAUUUAGGACUAAGGAUGAUGAAAAAUAUUUUAAAGACAACGGAUCCAGUGAAACAAAAGAACAAAUAUUAAGGAUUCGUACUUUAAACAAUCUGAGUUCAAAAAUACUUCAUAAAUAAUCAUAGUGGAGUAAAAUGCAAGAAUGAUCAAAACAUGGAUACAAUCAAAGCUAGUAUCCAUAAUAGGUAUUUUGGACAAAAAAUGAAAUUUUAAUUUUUCUGUGAAUAGUGUCGUAUUCGUGAAUAGUGUCGUAUACGUGAAUAGUGCCGUAUACGUGAAUAGUGUCAUAUACAUGAAUAGUAACCCCAAAACUAAAAGACAAGACUUUCACAAGAAAAAUCUUACCAAUACUCCGGCAUAAUGAUAUUAGAAGAAAUAAUAUCAUUUUAAAAAAAAUAACAUCCCUUACCUCGAAAAGACAGUACUUCUGACUUGAAUACUGGAUAUAGUGCUGAAGAAAACUUGUACCGUAUAGCAACACUCAAAGUCUCAAAAUACUCACAAGAAUAUGCUCGAUAAUAUAGAGAGAGAAAACUUAUUUCUGGUGUGAUUUUCAAUUCUAACCUAAGCACCCUAUUUAUAGGAAAAUGCUUAGAACACCAAAGUAGAAAAUUUAAUAAAAUAUUAAUAUAUUUAUAUAAAUUUCCUUAGCCCACUUUUUUGGUCAAAAACACCAGCCACCAACCCACCAAAAUAAAAAAAAAAUGUUUUUGUUAAUAAAAUUAUUUAAAACUCCAAAAAUCAAUUCAGCCCCAAUAUACCAGAACUUCAAUAAUUCACAAUAAAUAGCCCUUUUAUCAGAAAAAUUCAAAUCUUAUAUCCAUUCCAUAGGAAAUUCAAUUCUCUACAACUUUGUAAGUUUAAGUUUUUCCAAAUUCCAAACAGAAAUUAACCGAAAUCUACCAACGGACAAUGUUACAGGCUAUAAUCAAAUUUCAGUCAAGAAAUGGGGUCCACAAACAUGAAAAACAUGUUUUAAAUAUUUUUAGUAACAAAAAAACACUUCCUCCUCACUUAUUCAUAUAUCCCACAUUCAUUGUAAAAUAUCACCAUUAUUAUAUUAUUAAAAUAUAAUAAUAUAUUUAAAUGAAUUAUUUUAUCAGAAAAAGAUAAAAUUUCAAUUUUCAACAAUUGUCACAUUAAAAAUUUUCUCCAUCUAUAUCCACAUAAAAUCAAUAUUUUCCUCAUCAUAUGAAUCAAUAAUUAAUUAUUCACAAAUAAUAUUACAGAAUCACA